UUUUUUUUUGGGUGUUCUUUUUUUCUUUCCGGCCCUCGCACACGGGCUGAAUUUCGCAUCGGGAAUGGAGCUCGUUCGUUCGGGGGCCUUUGAAUUCGAUCGGGGCGAAACCCUAGCUUGGCUCUCGUCUCGCUUGCAUCGGAAUCUAGAAUCAGGUGAGCUUGGUGCUUGGGGCCGUUUGCCUGCCCUUUUAUUUGCUUGUCAUUUUGGUUUCAAAUCUCCUGCAGCUGUGGCGCUUCAUGAUCUUGCCUCUGACUGUGCGGUCCCACGGUUCCGGGAUCUAUGCACACGUUCACUUCGUGGGUUCUCCUUUAGAUUCUUGAUUUCGUCACUGGCUGUUUGGUUUUGCUGUGCCAGAUGAGCUCAGAAGACUUUGCUUAGGCUUGUGCAUAAAAGGUGGAUAACAUUGGAGAAUUGGAUUGAACAAGCUUUCUAUGGUCGUGAUUGCACUAGUAGCUUCAGUCUUGCUGUUUCUUCAGUUAACUAUGGAUCAAUUUUGGUGACCUGGGUUUCUCUCCUCGAGCUGCUGCUCUCCUCCUUUAGGUGUCUCAAGCAUGAGCAGAGUCUUUAGAAAAUGGAAACAAGUUCCAGCCUCUGCAACACAUGCAUUUGCUCUAGGCUGAGACAAUGAUAAAUGCAAAUACUAGACAUUGUGAUAUAUGGCAGAUCAUCUAUAACGGCAACCUCCAAUGCAUAACAUGUGCUUAUCUUCUUAUGUAAUUUAAUUUGCUUUCUACAGAUUUAGUUUUACUGUUUGUUGGGCUUUUACUUGAAACUGAGCUCCUAACCUUUUGUUUUCGUGUGAAGCCUAAUCUUUCAAUUGAUCAGGCAACAUUAUGGGACUCAUUGAAGUUUUAAUUUAAUGCUGUUCUAUUGAUUCUUAAUUAAUCCAACUAGGGCAGGCAACAUUUUUUUUGGCCCCUGUUUUUAUUUGUUACACCCAUUUUUGAAGCAUAAUUUGUUAUCAAUUGCAGUUAGCUCUCCUGUUGGUUGAUUUGUGUACUGGGGCAUACUGGAUUGGAGGAGCAAUAAAACUUGAAGAACCCGAGAAGUACUUUGAAUUUAAAUUUAUGUUCUGAUUGUAUGGAAUCCUGUUCCUGAGAGAUGCCAUCAUCCACGCCACCACUGCCACAAAAUUUGCUCCCACUACCAUCACCGGUGGUUGGGCAGAGCACUCGUAUUAACCUUGUGGACAUCAAACUAAAACUAGUCAAGAGAAUUGGUCCAGAGCAGGCAAAGAAGUACUUUGAGCACCUGCAGAGGUUUUUGUCUUCGAAACUUAGCAAGACUGUGUUUGACAAGCUAUGUCUCACGAUACUUGGUCAUGAAAAUGUUCAGCUUCAUAACCACCUUAUUCGCUCUAUUCUCCACAAUGCCUGCCAAACAAGUGGGCCGCCCACGGUCAGUGCACCUAAAUCAAUUGGAGCUGCCAAGAAUUCAAAUCAUGUCUUAGUUCCUACAGUUCUGGUCUCUGAAAAUGGUGAUGUUCUGCGUCAACAUGUGAAGGCCCACUGUCCACAAGGCAGAAAUGCAGAUGUUGUCGAGGAGAAUGGUGUUGUGCAUUUGACCAAACUGAAGAGAUUUCCACAGCCUGAACAAAGUGACCUUGUGGAACCACUGUCCAAAAGAUUACGUGUGGAAAAUGCAUAUUCAAAUUUAUCUGAGUCCCCAAAUAGCAACUGUCUUGAUGUUGUUGACAGAGAAAAUAUGGAAGCGAUUGCACAGCAAGCUCGAGAUCCAAUAACUGCCCCACUAGGGGUUGCCUUCUGCUCUGGUAGUUUUGGUGGGAGUUGGAAAACUUCAACAUUUUCCUCUAGUGUUGGCAGUGAUAACUCUGUUUGUUGCUAUGACCUUGGUCAGCUGUGCGAUACUUCAUCACUGAGACAGCGGAUGGGGAGAAUAGCAGAAACAGAAGGGUUAGAUGGUGUGUCAUUAGAUUGUGCUAAUUUAUUGAAUAAUGGAAUUGAUUUGUUCUUGAAACAGCUUAUUGGAUCUUGUAUUGAACUAGUUAGGUCAAGAUCUCAGCAUGAUCGAAUAAAUCAGAUGGCACUAAAGCAACGGUUAAGUAGAAAGCUAAUAAAUGGUGUACAGCUGCAAAAUCAGGUGCAUGGUCGAAGUGCCAAUACAUGUCCACAAAUCAGCUCCAUUUCAUUGCAAGACUUCAAGGCUCUAUCAGAGCUAAAUCCUCAGUUGCUUGGAGUCAAUGCGUCACUGCUACUUGAAAAAAUGAAUUCAUAUGACUAAUCAGAUAGGAUCCAAGUGAAUUAAUCUUUCUACAGAGAUUAAUCUUUGCCUAGCAGGCAUGAGGAUUGCAAGCUUGAAAUCCUAUCUUGGUCAAAUGCACCUUCCUUAUUGUACCUUUGGCAACAAUUAAGCCUGAACCAACGCCCUCUGUUUCCUGUGUGAGUUGUAGCACCACUCAGAAAAUGCAUCAAGCUGAGGUUGGAGUACCAAACAUGAAACACCACAGUGAUAAAGUGUGAGCCUUGCCAGCUAGCGUGCUUCUCCAAAAAUUUUCUGGUCACAGCAAAGUACCUGACUUGCUUCCAUGCAUAUCUGCAGCUGAGGUCUUCCUGUUUCAUCUCUCUUGCACUACAGCAAAGUCCAAGCCUGCCUCCAUAACUUACUGCAGCUGAGAUGUUGCUUCCUGUUUCAUCUCCAUUACUCAAAUGACGUUUUGACAUUCUCUGUCUCAUAUGUAGCAGACACCAAAUCUUCUCAGCGUGGUGUUUCGUAUGAUGCCUGGAGUAUGUUUUCAUAAUUUGUUGAUGGGCAGUGGAAGGUGCUAAUGAACAUUGUACAGUAUCCUGCUUCUGGUGAAGUCCACAGCCCACUAUUAAGACUGCUCCAUCAAAAUGAAUGAAGAUCACAUAACUUCUAGAGACUGUUGAUUAUACAAAGACACCAAUUUUGGCUUUUAUGCACUGUGGCAAGAUUGCGCACACAACUAUGGUGGUGCAGGGUUCAAAACAGAUUUAGAACAGGGCCUUCCAGCAUUAAGAGAAGUGAUCUGUAAGUCUGCACUAGUGUGGUAUAAAUUGUUACAUUUGUACUUCCGAGCAUGUAGAUACUACAGAAAUUGAUUAAUGUGGUGCAUUCAAUUUUGAUUUAGAGUUAGUUUGUUAUGUUUAGUCUCAAUCUAUGAGUGCAUUUCCCCUUUCUUUCAGAACUAUAAAAGUUACUCCCUCCUUUCCAAAUUGUAGGUCAUUUUGACUUUUGUAGAUUCAUAGAUAUUAUUAUGCACCUAGACAUACACUAUAUCUAGAUGCAUAAUAAUAUGUAUGAACCUAAAAAAGCUAAAACGACCUACAAUUUGGAACGGAGGGAGUACAAAAUAAGCCAUACUCUGGGAAUAACUUUUUUGAGUUGUUGUAGUUAGACCAUAAACUGUUGAAGUACCCAAUUCUCAGUCUUCUUUCUAUUAGGCUAUGUAAGUAGAAAACUUUAUGUUCCUUCUUCAAUGACGGGGUUCUAUUUUCUGCUAUUUUACUUUUGCUUUGUGCUGUGUGGAGUAAGUGAGAAGACCAAAUUUAGUUUAUUAGAAUUCAUAUUGGUUACUAUGCUACUGUAACUUGGAGUUUAAAUUUUGCAUUACUUAAUUUAAUUUGUGCCUAUAUAUUAAUAACAUAGCGAAACAGAUUGAUAUGGAUCAAGUAUAGAAAAAAAACGAUAGAUUUCGCUAGAUAACAGGCGCAACAGAAAUACAGGCACAAAAAAGUCACUGGCUCCACAUUUUGGGUUUCAGCACAAAAAAAAUGAACUUUGAAACAUUGUGGAAUUAAGAGAUGCAACAGACUUGGGUUGGCUGAACCUUAUAAUCUGUAGGGAUGCUUAUGGAUAAGAUGCGUGGAGAUGAAAAGCAUCUUGUGCUAGUUGCUGGGUGCCUUUGGUUAGAAAAUUUUUAUUUCAUCUCGUGUGUGAGACAGUCCCAAAAUUGGUUUACCUUUUUCAUCACAUAAUCACAUAAUUACGGGUCCUAACUUGCAGAAGUAGCAGCAAUUUCACUCAAUUCCAUAACAGUAACAGACUAACAGUCACAUGCAUGAAUGGAAUGAAACAUAUGAACAUCUACUCUUCACAAUUGAGUACACAUUUUCAUGAACCAGAGCAGUUUUUUACUUUGCAACAUGAAAAGAAGGUUUGUUUUCAGUGCUCCGUCAGUUCCUCGCGUCCAUUCUCACUCUCAGCUAGACAUGGCAGUCUCAAAUCUCCCCACCAAGGCCAUUACCUUGUUCUUCCUCUCCUGGAUAGGCUUGCUCCUGCCCUCCUCUGUGACUUCAUUGCUCCUCCCAUCGUCCUUCCUCCACCUCUGUGCCAACUCCAUGGUCUUCGCUGGUAGCAUUAUUUUCUCUUCCUUAGGUUUGGCCUCUUCUUGUACAAUUAACUUAGGUUCAGCAACAUCAUCCUUUAACUCAGUUUCACUGGCAGCUUCUUUUAAUACAGUUUCACAGUCAGCUUCGGUUAACUUGAUUUCAUCAUUAGCUUCGUUUAGCUCAGCUUCACUGACAGCUUCGUUUAGUUCAGUCACAUUCACAUCAACAGAUUCCUUUAGCUCAGUUGCACUGACAUCUUCCUUCAACUCAGUUUCAUCCGCAGCUUCCUUCAAUUCAGUUUCACUGUUAGCUUCUUUUAGGAUGUUUAUAUCGCUGUUGAUUCCAACAUCAGCAUUGUCACCUGCAUUCAGGUCUUCAUUGUCUUUUCGUUCGUGUUUCUCUUCUGAAAUGUCCCCUGUAUUCUCAUUCUUGUAUUCCUCCUGACUAGAUGAUGGCUUGCUAUUGACAUCCACAGAUUGCAGAUCAACAGGGUCAGGGAGCCGUUCUUGCAAGUGUUCUUCUAUGGAAGAGGUGCUUAUGCUCUCUGUCUCAUCAAAUUCCAUCAACAGCUCGACAUCUUGCUCCUCGAUUUUUGGUGUCUCUAUUUGUCCUUCCGGCACACUUCUUGUCCUCUGGAUAGAGAUAGAAUUUUGAGCACCUGUUCUUCUCUUUGCUACAGUACCAGGAGCACGGGUCGAAGAUGCAUCUUGAGAUUUUCCAGCUCCAAGAGGUCCUGCCACUGAUCUCUGAGUUUUCAGCUUCACAGAAGAUGUUGCCAUCUUCUCGAUACCAGGCCUUGUAGAGAGGUUACUCUUCUGCACGAUGGAUGGCGAUUUUGCUGUCCUGGUCAUAUUCUUAGAUGAAGCAUUUGGUGUUGCAAGGGCUGCAGGCCACACAGAUGUGGCACCAGGCUUCUCUACUUUUUUCCUCAUUGUGUUGCAUUGCUUUGCACUGGCCAGAGAAGCAGAGUGCAGUGUCUUUCCGUGAGUGGAAGAAGAGCCCGAGCCAGACGUGGACCGGGAUGAGGUGGUGCGCGUGCUGAACGAUGAUGAGGGUCGACAUGUGUUCGAUGAGCUUGAGGCAGGGGAUGGGGAUAAUCUGCGAUCAGGAGAGGUUGGGACGGACCUUGCACGCCGUAGCGCUUGGUCAGACUCGCUUGAUUUGAGCCCUGGGGACAUAUUCCGGACGCCCUGGUUGACCCUAGCAUUUGGUUGAGGCUCCCUCCUUGAUGUUGCCAUUGUGUCUAAGCUAUUCUGCCAACAAUUAAAAAAUGCAGAAAUUAAUGACGCUUCAAGUACUAUCUCUAUCUGCCUCUGGGUUAUGAACUGCAACCAUUUUGAUGCCAUCACUGAAAAAAGUACUAGAUCCGCAUCGUAUAUUACCAUAAUUGGGCUUGAUGACUAGCAAAUCAACAUGUUAUGAAUGCUUAUAUCUUUUCAUGUGCAGUUUCAUCUAGGAGAGCAGGCAAAUAAUUGUGGACAAUAGACGGCAAGGCACAAAGGGUGAUGGAUAGAAAGGAAAUGGCGCGGUUCGAGGUAAAUCAUACUGAUAAUCAGAUAAAACAACAUAAAUACUUUUCAGAGCGGGCCUUCAUGAAUUAAGUUCUUAUUUGCAUGCCAUGCAUAGACAUCAUACAAUCCCCAAUUGAUGCCUACCAUCCAUGCUCAGAUGCAAUGAUCAAGAAUGAAAAUUCGGUAGCCAGGGGGAUCUAAAUUACGCUGCCAUUCUGCCAAUAAAGAGGCCAGGAAACCGUACCUGAGCUGAUCUCAGAGCUGCUCACCAGAACCCCGGAUGCUGAUCAAUCUCUGCAAUUCAAGGUCAAGAAUUCAAGCCGGAGAGAACAGAAAAUUUGCGUUGCAGUUCCCACUUUUUAUGGCCUGCCGCCUGCACCUGGAGGAUCCAGGUGGUUGCGGCGUUGAAAUAGCCUGAGAAAGGGCACUGGCUGAAAAGGCUCUUGAAUGUUUGGCCCUUAUGCUUCCGUUUGUUGGCUCCGGUGGACGUUCCAUAAAUAGUCAGCUGAGACGCCCCUCCAUUCAUGAUUCAUGGGCCUGUGGAUCAGCCGUUUCGUGUUUUCUAGCCUAAUAACGGAAGGCGCGGUUACAUGCCCGCCUGUCUCUGAACUUUAAUUUUGUUGCUGGCACGCGUGUUCCCUGCUGCGGAUGUUGCAUGUCCGUAUCCUUGUGUCACAUGUUGCCGCAGGAGAUGACAUGAGUUUAGCAUGCGAUGUGUACACUUUAGGUAUGCCAUGCAAUUAUGCUCCUGGGCAUCGUGGGGGCUCAAUCCUUUAUGUUGUGAUGAUCAUUGACCAGUGUUCUGAAGAAAAGGUAUGCCUAUGGAAUUGGUAUACUUGUGUUGUUGAUCCUUCUCCACCUGUUUUGAACUCCUAUGAUAGAAUUUCCGAGCCUAUUGCCGAACUUUCCUUAGGACGCGUGUCAAAUAUGCAAAAAUUGACCUGACAAACGGCCUUUAGGAUCAGUCAAAAGCUUGGACGGACACGCUGCUUUAGAUAUAUACUGCCUCUGUUCUAACCCCUUCUACGCAUUGACGCAUGGUAUCAGCAGGAGCGGAGCUGCACCCCGUGCUGGGGGUGCUGCAGCACCCCCUUGGCCAGAAUUACUAUAAAGCACCCAUAUGGCCAUAUGUAUUUGCUCACAACAUUAGAAAUAGAUAGAUCAUAGAACACUAUUGCUCUUUGAUUUUAACUCAUGCAUGCUCCCUCUUUAUGAGUUCCUCUCCAUCGGUCAUUGUUGCUUAUCCCAAUCCCAGUGUCACAUCCUCCUAGCUACCCAUGGCACAUCCCCAGCUUUGCUCCUCAGGUAGCAGCACCAACACAUAGCACCCCCUUUGUCCCAUUCCUAGAUCCGCCACUGGGUAUCAGCCUAUCAGGAUGGCAGCACUGCACGGCUGCACCACGUCAAGGAAAUAGAGGUAAGGAAACCUACCCGAAUCAUGUUUACAAUCAGAGAAUAAUAACCCUGAAACAAUAUAACCUUAUUGCGAUUUUGUAAGGCCCUUAUUUGUAUAUAGAUUCACUAUCAGUUUGGUCUAUGCAGAAAUCACACAGUUCACCAAACAUGCUGGUUCAUGCACGGAAGGGCGGAAGGCAAUACAGAAACUUCAGAACUAAUAAGCAAGGUCGUCUGCACUCUGUAGAGCGAUCAACCAAUUCUUUCAUUUCCAAGUCCGUCAACAGGUAUCUGAAGGUGUUUGACAAAAAUUAAUACUAACUCUGCUGUUAAUUCCAUCAUUUUAUGCCGUAUGCCCAAUCGACCACUCUUUGAAGAAAAAAUAAUACUUAGUCUUUUGGCUUAUUCACAUAUCAAUUGGACCUCAAACUCCCAUGUGUCUAUAGCGCCUCGAUGGGGCAAAUAGUCUCAAGAAUGGAAUAUGAUGAAGUUUUUCUCAUUGUCUAUGUAGUCUUCCUUUCCUUUUUCUUAGUAAAAAAAAAUGAAGGAAUACCACCGUCAACUUCCACAUAAGUAUGAUCUUAGUAUCAGUUUUAGAAAAAUGAAUAGUCUUCAGUUGUAUAAGUUGUUUGUUACCUCUUUCAAUUUUGGGGUUUCCCACGGUGCGUGCACUAGAACAUCGUCCAGCAUUCAGCUUCCCAGGUGUUGCAAACAUAACUCUCCAAUUGUGCUCCCAGUAUAAAUAACAAUUGUUUAGUUAUUAAUUAAUUUAGAUAACAUGGACUCCUAAAUCCUAAUUUAGGUAUUUUGGUUUACUUUUUACAGGGUCGUCACAGCAGCGUGUGGGCUUGUAGCGCAGCAACACUGUUUGAAGUCUCCAGUAAAUUUGUAUUAGAUCGACUGUCAGCGGAUCUCCCCUGUACCUCAUAACAUGACGGUUAAUGUGCUGGACUUCAGGUCGCUGGUCAGGCAGCAAAGAAAAUGCCUCGCGUGCCGCAAGGCAAAGAGAUUGGCUGGUCUAAAAGAAAAAGGUAGGUAGGUCGGUAAGGAUUCGCAAGGGACUAAUUCUCGUCAAAUUUUCUAGUUUGAGACUAAAUUUCAAGCGACAGAAACAUAUAUAUCGACCCAAAUACCUGCCCUCCGCAUUUCCCUAAUUUUGUUUGAAAGACAUAAUAAUGCUCGCCUUUUCAGAGUUAGUAAGAGGGAUCAAGAACCAUCGGAAAAUUCACCUUUAAUCCCGGUUGAAACUGGACAGACGCUCCGUAGUGAACUUCACGGAGUCAAUAAUCUAAAAAUAAUGGUAGAACAGAAGAAUUUCGAGUACUCGGGCUGAAUAUCAUAAAGAAUCUUAAAAUAAUUAUCCAAACAUCUUUUGGAGCAAGUGUCACAUUCUCAUAAUACAAGUAUGGUGGCAUACAAUAGCUCGUCCAGGCAAAAGAUAUGUUCACUGAGCAUGACCCAUUUUGACAAGCUAAAACCAACCAAAAGUCGAUGGGUCAAGGUCAGUGAACAUAUCUCUGCCCGAACAAGCUAUUGGACCACCAUACUUCUAUUAUGAGAAUGUCGCUCCAAAAGGCGUUUGGAAAACUAUUUCAAGAUUCUUUUAUGAUAUUCAACCCGAGUUUGUGGACUCGAAGUUCUUCUGUUCUACCAUUAUUUUUGGAUUCUUGACUCCGUGAAGUUCACUAUGGAGCGUCUGUAGUCUUUAUUAGUGUAUCUUUAUUGUCAUGUUCCACAAUUGUAGCAUUAAGUUGACCGGUGUAAUUUUCAUGUCACUCUAAUUUAACAUGCAAACUAUCCAAAAAAAUUGUAGCAAUGACCAAAUUCUAUUUCUUACACCUACAAUAUAUUUACAAAUUAAUCAUACAAACUAAAAUAAUGGUACAACAUAGCAGAAUGUUCACCAUCCAAGCCAUCUCUGCACAUGACUCAAUCUUCUACGAAGUCUAUGAAGAGCCACCUCCACUCCUCCACUACCGGAGAAUAGUGUAAGCACAUUCAUACCAUGUGCAGACACUAUUCUUUGGUAUUGGAGGAGCAGAGGAACCAGCUCUUUAGAAUAUUCCUCCAAGUCUAUGGAGAGCCAUAUCCGCUCCUCCAAUACCAAAGAAUAGUGUAAGCACAUUCAUACCAUAUGUAGACACUGUUCUCUAGGAUUGGAGGAGCGGAGGUGGUACAUCUGGUCCAUCUGCAUCGUAUUACGUGAAAAAUGAACAUAGGGUUUCGUAUUAGAUAAAGAACUUGAUCAAUAUUAGGUAUGGGAAAAAAUAGGGUAAAUGUAUUUAUAAUAUUUAGUCCUUGCAAUAAACAUGAUAUAAAUAAAUUAUUGGUCAAAGAAGUAGAAUUAUUGUUAAAUUAGAGUGACAUGAAAAAUUGUAGCAAUGACCAAAUUCUAUUUCUUACAACUACAAUUUAUUUACCUUAAUUUUAUUGAAAUGACUAAAUACUAAAAACACAUUUACUCUAUUUUUUUCCCAUACCUAAUAUUGAUCAAGUUCUUUACCUAAUACGAAUCAUAUAUAACAAGCAAGCUAUCCAUCAAAUUCUAGCUCAAAAACAUAUAUAAAUAAAAAUCCUCUCCAUUCUCCCUCAUUAUAAAAAACUCAUUUUUCUAUAUCUCUAAAGCAUAAAAUAAAGCAUAAUAACAAUAAAUGAAGGGAGGAUGAAAUAUCUAACCUUUACAACACUUUGGAUGAGUGAAGUCCCCACGGAAACAAGAAAAAAAUCGAGCAGCACCUCCCUAAGGCUGCUUGCUCGCCGUGGAGAAGGAGGAAGAAGGUUUGAUGAGUGGCUCGGGCUCGGGGAGGAAGAAGAUAAAUUUAUAGACAAGGAGCUUUUGUAAUUUCCAAACAGGACUAAAUCUUUUAUCCCAGUUGGGAAUUCCAACUAGGACUAAAGGGGGGAUUUUUGUCCCGGUUGGUGUUUCCCACCAGGACAGAAGUGUCAGUGUUUAAACCCGGCAAACUACCAAGCGGAGUACCCAAGGUAGAGUUUUGGUUGGUGGGUGUCGCCAAAAUCAGGAACUCGAUGGUGUAUGUAGGCAUGCGAUUUAGAUAGGUUCAAGCCGCUAGAUCGCGUAAUACCCUACGUCUUGUGUGUUAUUUGCCUGUAUUCAAUUGAACCCAUCUGGAGGGGGUCUCUGCCCGUCCUUAUAUAUCAGAGGAGCAGGGUUAUAGGUCGAUUAUUUUAUAGGAAUACUAGUCGGAUUCGACCAGAGAGUUCUACUCUAACUGCUAUUAGUAGUUUCUAAGUCCUCAACUAGAUCCUAUCCUCCACGUAGACUAUGCCGUCCUGCAUCGCAGUCUCUAUGUCUAACACGUCUCGGUGCACAACCCUAUAUGUGGGUCUGUCCAAACCUUCUGGUGGGCCCAUGGAUAUAUGUACAACAAGCCCUCGAUUAUGUUUUAGUCAAAUGCAACAGUUCUGAGUACCUUUACAGGCUUCAUCCGACUAGUUUUUGGUGCUUUUCUGAGUACUCUAUCGAAGUUGCGCCUUCAAGUAACUCGAGUACUGCCAUGCGGCUAGAAUGUGCUCAAGCCUCAUCCAACGCUGUCUUGAAUAUCUGUCCUUGAAUCUAUAUAUAGAAGUGCGAUGAAAACUGCACUCCAUAUGGAGUAGCCCCCAAGCCUUAGGUUGAAUCAAAGAAUCAGGCUGAGGGUCUGCAUCCGCGUUGUCUUCACCUUAAACUCUGGAGAAAAAACUUUUUAGCCGAUGGGCACGUGGCACACAACCCCCGAGCCAUUACCCGACUAGUUUCAGGAGGUAUAAGGAUCAACCACCAGUCAUUGUGACCAUCACCAAUAGUAACCUUAUCUUUUGCGAUAACUUUGGAAACUGACGGCCAUAUGCGAAAUUAACGGCCAGAAGCGAAAACAUCGGGACCAUUACCUCCGUUUACUCUGCUUCUGUUCUAAAUAGAUGAGGGAAGUUACCCCCCAUUUACUCCACCAUUGCCAUCUACUAUUUGCGCUUCGGAAAACCCUACUGCCCAACGCCGCCGCAAUCCAAUUUGAGAUCACCAAUGCCACCUCCCUCUUAUGAGCCCUCGAGCGUAUGCGCGUGAAGCAGCUCGUGACAUCCAAGAUGGGGAGAAAAGCUUGUGCUUCCAGGGGUGCUGAAGGUUCCAAGAGGAGGCCUGGAAAGGAGAAGGAGCUGCAGCUGCCUCCGCCCAAGUAUGGGAAGACAAACCAAAUUGCACCGCCGAGUCCUGCCUGUGCUUGGAAGAAAUCGACCAUAAAGGAAGAGGAAAUCCAGGCAUUGGAGAAGGCGAAGCUGCUACAGAAUCAAGCAACCGUAGGCUGGAGGUGUGCUUUCGGUAAUGCAUGGCCAUUUGAAGAGUACCCCGAGGAGAUGGUAACCUUUGCCCACUUUGUCGAGCAGGAUUUUGCUAUCCACUCCUCUAAUAUUCUGCGGGGUCUUCUGGAUUAUUACAAGCUUCAGCUGGUCCAUCUCAAUCCAAAUGGUAUUCACCACAUUGCUAUUUUCGUGCACCUGUGCGAGGCUUUCUUGGGGAUUCAAUCCCACCUUCAACUGUUCCGUAAGAUAUUCCAGGUGAAGCCGCAGCCAAAACUGGAGUGUACUGCAGUAGUCGGGGGCGCUGAAAUUCAGAUGCGGGAGAAUAGUAGUAGCUUGUACUUGGAGUAUGAGUUGUUGGAGUCACACUCUAGGUGGAAGGAGAAGUGGUUGUACAUUGGAGACCAUGAUCCAAAGCUGCCAAAGGUGACUGGUCACCAUCCAAAGUGGAACAAUAGGUGGAUAGACGAGCCGACGCACGGGAAUAGUCUUCAAGUACCCGAGCUCUUAGGCAAGAUUGCCCAAUUGAAGAAUCAAGGACUGACAGGAGUUGGAGUAGCCUUUAGUUUUAUGAAGAAGUGAGUUCAACCCCUGCAGCUCCGCCACACCUGGGGCUAUGAGUACUUGGGCCUCAACGACCCGUCAAGGAUGAUGACUAAAGAAAUCUCCGUCGAUGGGGUGAUGGCGAGGUUGAAACGCUUCUUUAAGAACGCCAAUGAGAUCGCCCGAGUAGUCCUGGAGUUCAGCGCCGCUAACCCGCCGAGAGUAGUAAGUAACCGUGGCUUUAGCUCCCAAGUACUUAUUAGAGGUCUUUCUUGCCUUUUGAUUUGUCUACCUUUAUAUAGGAAGACAUACUUGUGUUUUAUUCACCCCCUCCUCCCCUGGCUCCGACGAUAUGGAGAGCACCCCAUGGGUGUUUGGGUGAAACCUUGUUGUACUAGGGGCCACCGAGGAGGAGGAGGAAGAAGAAGAAACUGAGUCCUUUAGCAGCCUAGACUCGAAUGCUGCUGGGGCAUAAUGUGUGAAGGUCUAUGCCUCGGACAAAGUUGGGACGUCCUCUGGCUCAUUGAAGCGCCUUGCGGAUGAUGAAUUUGAGACUGCUCUGGCCCCGCCACCGAAGAAGAAAUGGAUGGUCGGCAGGACGCGCGCUCCGGGUAGUCUGCGCAUCGUCGAAUCCGCACCCCCGCCGAUAAUAACCUUCGAGGAAGGGCAAGACCCUGAGGUAUGGGCACGAUUAUGCAGGUAUGUUGAUGUCACGACUACUAAUCAGGACUUGUUGUAUCUGCAGGUAGUCGCGGAGGUAGUCAAGGAGACGGAGGCGGCAGCUGGCGCCGUCCCGCCUGAAGUUCCAGUGUCUGGGGAGGUCGUCAUGGUUGAAGAUGGUCCUGAGCCUCCCGCUACUGAAGUCAAUCCUGCGGGUACUGAGGUAUCCGCACAGGAAGAAGGUAGGACUACCAUGGCUGGUGGUAGUCAGGAUGUGCCGCAACAUGCCUCGCCAAGGGAUCCUGCCCCCACCAUUAAGCCCCUACACUGGGUGGGGAAGCCGUCGCUAAAGCUGCAACGGUCUGCAAGGUAAAUUGAUUCGAUAUGGUUGAGUACCAAUUCUAGCUUGAUAGUUGGUUGUCUUCCGUCACUAACGCUAUGUGUUGUGCAGGAUAUCUUCUAGACUGGGCCUUGGGUUGUCGGGUUCAAGGUCAACAACUGAUGAUGCUAGCUGCUCGGUUGAAGAUGUAGCCCCCGCGCCUACUGUAGCCCUGGCCGAGGGAGAUUCAGCUCCGGCGGUCAAGACAGGUGCCGCAUCACUUGUCGCUACGUUGAUGCAUGACAUAAUCGACUCGAUGGUUGACAAUGCAGUGCCAUCCCUCGAGCCUACUGUACCCGGGGCUCUUCCCAUGGAUAUUCUCGUGGAGAGUCCGUCCCCACCUAUGAUCAUGGAAGCUAACCCCCUUAACGCUGCUGCUCCCGAAGCCCCCAAGCUUGAAGCCGCCUGAGCCCUUGAAGCCGUGGCUGCUGCUGUCGGGAUGACUUCCGAAGCUGGCACGUCAUCUGGCCGUGAGAUGGUCCUAUUUCCCAGCAUGAGGAUCGAGCCGAACAUUGAGAUUCGGGUGCUGCUCGAGGAGGUCCAGCUGAUUGACGAUCCUCUGCUAGAUGCGCAGACGGUGGCCACCAUACUCGAGAUGAACCGGCACGUCACGUCUUACACCGAGGUAAGUUUGAACUUUUUCCUUAUGCUUUACUUCUGAAUGUUCGCAAUUUGUACUCCAUGCGGUACCCCAGUACUGAUUUCUGGAUAAUAGGACUUGAUCAACCGCUCCUACUGGAAGUCCCAAUUGUUGCGGGACUAUGGUGAGACCGUACAAUGUGCUGUGGUGUUGGAGAAGGAACUGGUUGAAGAGCGAUAGCAAACCUCCCGACUUGUCAUGAAGCUUGACAGCACGGCGGCAACCUUCCGGGCAUAGAUACAGGAUUUGGAAAAGGAAAAUGGGCGUCUUGCUGCCCGGAACAAGUCGUUGAAUCAAAUGCUUGAAGGUGAGUACUGAUAUUUUUGUUGUGUUCAUCUGUUGGUAGCCUAUAGUCUUUUUGACUAACAUUGGGUCUCUGUUUGUGCAGAGUAUAAGAAUCAGGAACCCCGGUUGAAGGCUUCUAUAACUCAUUGGAAGAACGCCUACUACCGGACCACUGAUCAACGUGACAUGCUCGAGUAGCAGGUGUCCAAGCUGGAGCACACUUGGAGAAGGAGAUGAAGAUGCGCCAAGAUGGUAAAGUCAAACUAAUCAAUGUCAUGACGACCAUCCAGGCGCAACAAGUCGAGCUUGGGGCCUAUAAGCUGGAGCUGCAAGAGCUGUCUGCAGUAGCUCGGCCAUUGGCUGACAUGGUGGAGCCUCCAGUCGAUGGCGCGGAUCCUCACCCACCUGUAGAGAGACUCCAAGAUGUGCCGGGAAAGAUCGCAGGCUGUGUCCAGGGGAUGGCGAAGUCCGUCUCAAAAUAGUUGCUAGCCUUCGCAAAGUCCUUCUACCCCGAUGCCGACUUGUCUCCUGUCGUGGAAGGGAUAGCAGGAGAUUACACGGAUGAAGUCUUCAAGCAGUAUCUGAAGGAGGUGAAUCCCAUUGCCGAGGAAGUCACCAAGCACCUGGAUCUGCAAUGAAUUCCUUACCUUUUGGGAUAGGAGGAACAUUUAGUUUUGUAAUGGGAUAAAAGUGUAGAUAACUUUAAAUCUUAGUGCAAUUUGUUACUCUCGACUUGUCAUCUAUUGUGUUUAGUGCUUCUCACACUUGUUCCUGAUUUUUCUCGUACGACCGAGGUGAGUGUCUGCGCACAAGGCUACUAUUGUGAGCCUCUUCAGAAGCAAAUUGUUGGGUACUCGUGUACUCGAACUAUCCAGUAGUAGACAUCAGGUAGUUUCUUUAGGAUUCCGCUGACUAGGGCUUAUUUCCUCGACUCCCCUGAGUAGAGUACAUGCAUGAUUGCUGCUUUGUUAGGAAGGCCACAUGGGGGUGCUGCUUGUCCGUGUCUAGUAGAUAAAGUUGAGAAACAUGUGAACAUUGGUCGUCAAAGUCCUGACGAUAAGGACAAGCGUCACAUGAACACUGUAUAGGCGUGAUGUGCAUAGGGAACUCUGCCUUGUGUUCAUGGGCGCAUAUUGUAGCACUCUGGAUGGUAGCCGGUUGCCUUGGCUAUAAAUAGAGCUGCAUCUGCAUUCGAAGUGUUCAUGACUCAAGUUAUAGCGCUUAUUGGUUUGAGGCUUUUGUUGUUCAUCAGGGGUAGCUUCCACCAUAUUUACUGAUGCCAGAAGAAUUCUCGUGAAGAAUACUCAGGUGCUCCUUUCCUCUACAGUCUCUUUGGCCAAGUCUUGAGGCCAUGAUGCUAGAAGAAUCCUCGUGAGGAAGGUGCAUCGUGUGCCCCAGGCUUUGUCCAGGACACCGCUGAGGAAGGCUUUUGAGCGCAGCUUUCUUGCAUUCACUCUUUUUACUUCUUCUAUGUUGAAGCUGCUUGCCCUGAGGUUAGGGUAGUCCCGGGACUGUUCACACAUGCUUUGUGAUAUUGUAAAAGCCUGGGACUUUUGUUGUAACCUUAAUGAAAGCACGUACGCCUUGUUGAUGAGAUGUUGCUGUCUUGUUUCUUUGGCUGUUUUGUUGCUGUGCCCUAGGAACCUGGAGCUAUGAAACUCGUUAGUACGAGCCAUGUUAAGAUAGAUUUGUAGUAAAUAAGUAGUCGAUCGGGUAGUUUGUGGACUCCCAGAUGACUUGAUGGCUCUUGUACUUCUAGUUCGCUUAGCGAACUGCCAGGUAAGUUGAAUAACUCAUGUAGACUUGUAAUUACAAGUCAUAUUGGGGCGUUGUGGCCCAAAGAGCUCAAUGGCUCGUUAGGAUGUUGCUGACCCACUUUUGCGAGCUGCAAUGGUGGCGAGAAUAAGUAGUCGAAUUUCAUAGAAGAUAACUGCAUUAUUAUGCUAAAAACUUACAAAGGUGGCUAGUGGCCUAUUUACAAUGAUGCGUAGCCUUCUGACUAUGGAUAGAAUCGAUAGAGAUGCUCGAUGUUUCACGAGUUGUCGACAUCUUUGCUAGAGAGGUGUUGUAGCCUGUACGAUCCUAGGCCUGUGACCUUGGAUAUGAUGUACGGCCUUUCCCAUGGCGAAUUAAGCUUAUGCAGCCAUUUGGUGUCUUGGAUACGCUUGAGGACCACGUCGCCUAUGUUUAAAGAACGUUCUUUGAUGUUGCGAUCAUGAUAACGGCGAAGGCCCUUGAGGUACCUUGCAUACUGGACGAGUGCUGCAUAGCGGGCUUCUUCUAAGCUGUCAAGAUCUAGACGCUUGUCUCCUCUGCUACCCCUAUGUCAUAUUGCUCAACUGUUGGGGAUUUCCACAUAACUUCAGCAGGAAGGAUAGCUUCUGAUCCAUAGACCAGAAAGUAGGGCGACUGCCCCGAAGGCUUGCACGGCUGAGUACGUAGCCCCCAAAGGACGUUGGGUAGUUCUUUGAGCCACUUUCCUCCUUUGGUAUUGCCAAUGUCGUGCAAUCUUUUCUUCAAGGCUUCUAGUUGCAUCCUGUUGGUGCGCUCAACCUAGCCAUUGGUCCACGGGUGAGCAACAGAGACAUAUCGAACGUCGAUGCUGCUGUUUUUACAGUACUCCCAGAACUCGUGAUUGUUGAAAUUGGAACCCAAGUUUGUGAUUAUCUGAUUGGGGAAUCCAUAGUGGUGGACGAUCUCAUCGAGAAAAUUGAGUAGUCUGUCUGCCUUGGGGUAGGUUACUGGCUUGACCUUGAUCCACUUGGUAAACUUGUCGAUGCCUACCAGUACUCGGUUGAAUCCUUCGGGUGCUGUAGGAAGCGGAACAAUCAUGUCGAGCCCCCAGCAUGCGAAGGGCCAUGAUGGCGGUAUAGUGAUAAGCUUGUAGGUAGGGACAUGCUGCUGCUUGGUGAAGAAUUGACAACCCUAGCACUGGCGGACUAGUUCUUCAGCGUCCGCUAGGGCGGUGGGCUAGUAGAAUGCUGCUCUAAAAGACUUGCCCAUGAUUUUAUGUGAGGAUGCAUGGUUACCGCAAAUGCCGUUGUGUAUCUCCUCCAAUGUGUCCUUGUCAUCUUCUCGUGUGACGUACUUCAUGAGUACUUCUGAAGAUGUGCCUGUUCUGUAGAGCUUGUCCCCGACUAGAACGUAGUUCUUACUUCAUCAUAGGAUCUGCUCUGCCCGUGUCUUGUUUGAGGGUAGUUUUUGCUCCCUUAUGUAAUCGAUGAAUGGGGUUCUCCAAUCCACGUCAAUCAUCAUCACCCCCUCUAUCUGGCGCCUCAAAACCACGAGUUGAGCCAAGUUUGGACAAGACAUCCGUGGCGACAUUGUUGUCGUGGACUACAUGGUGAAAUUCUAGGCCUGAAAAUAUAUUUUUGAGCUUGUGUCCUUCUAUACAGUACGCAUCCAUGUUCUUCUUUUUGCGAUCCCACUUGUUGUUAACUUGGUUGAUCACUACCAGUGAGUUGCCAUAGACCAACAAUCUUUUGAUUCCUAGCGAUACCGCCAGGCGAAGCCUAUGCAAUAGCGCUUCAUAUUCAGAUUCAUUGUUGGAUACCUCCCAGAAGAUCUGCAGGACGUAUUUGAGUUACUCGCCUUUAGGAGACAUCAAGAGUGCCCCUCCGCCGGCGCCCUCGAGCUUGAGGGACCCAUCGAAGUGCAUAACCCAAUGCUCUGGGUGCUCCACCAGCGUCGGUAGUUGAUUUUCCCGCCACUCUGCCAUGAAAUUGACUAGAGCCUGAGACUUGAUUACGGUUCUUGACUUGAAAUCUAGGGACAAUGCUCCGAGUUCUACUGCUCACUUUGAAAUCCUACCUGUGGCAUCCCGAUUGUGGAGAAUCUCGCCCAGGGGAAAGUCAGUGAUGAUGGAGAUCUUGUGUUCCUGGAAGUAGUGCCGCAACUUCUGCGAAGUGAGUAGUAUGGCGUAUAGCAAUUUUUGGACCGGUGCGUACCUAGCCUUGGAAUCUGAGAGUACUUUGCUGAUGAUAGACGGGCCUCUGCACUUUGUAUACAUGGCUGGGUUUUGACCUUUUGACUACUAUCGCCAUGCUUAUGACAUUAGUAGUUGCAACGAUGUAGAGCAGAAAGUCUUCGUUGGGACUAGGUGCCAUGAGGACCGGUGGCCUUGACAUGAAGUCCUUCAAUUGUUGCGGGGCUUAGUCUGCCUCCUCGGUCCACUAGAACUUGUCUUGCCGCUUGAGUAGUUUGAAGAAUGGAAGACCCCGUUCUCCAAGUCUUGAUAUGAAUCUGUUAAGGGCCGCCAUGCACCCAGUUAGCUUCAAAACAUCUUUAAUGCCAGACAAAGCUUGCAUAUCGAUGAUGGCGGAUAUCUUCUCGAGAUUUGCUUCAAUGCCUCUAUGGUUGAUGAUAAACCCGUUUUUUUUUCAGAUGGUACGCCAAAGAUGCACUUUGAUGGAUUGAGCUUCCACCAAAAUUUCCGCAGACUAUCGAAAGUCUCCUCCAAGUCAGCGAUGAGGUCGUCUGGAUUUCUGGUUUUGACUACCACGUCAUCCAUGUACGCCUCAACAUUGUGGUGUAGUUGUUUCUGAAAGCGCAUCUGGAUCGCGCAUUGAUAGGUGGUGCUUGCGUUCUUUAAGCCAAAGGACAUCGUUGUAUAACAGAAAGCUUCGUAAGAGGUGAUAAACACGGUCUUGGCCUGGUCUUCUUCCUUGAGAGUUAUCUGGUGGUACCCCGAGUAGCAAUCUAGGAAAUAGAUUAGUGUGCAUCCAGCAGUGGAGUUGAUGACUUGAUCGAUCCUCGAGAGUCUGAAGGGGUCCUUUGGAUAGCGCUUGUUGAUAUCUAUGUAAUCAACGCACAUCCUUCACUCAUUGUUGUUCUUCUUUCGAACCAGAACGGGGUUAGCAAGCCACUCAGGAUGGUAGACUUCUUUUAUAAAACCCGCCGUGAGUAGUUUUGCCAACUCUUUCUUAAUGGCUUCCCUUCUGUCCUAGGCACAUCAUCGUAGUCGUUGUCUCUUUGCAGUAGCUUUUGGAUCCACAUUUAGUGAAUGCUCGAUCAGCUCCUUGGGCACCCCUUGCAUUGUCGGUGUUUUAGACCGGCAACCCGCCUAGGGGGUACCCUAGGUGGUCUUUUGUGCGGUAAGGGCCGUCGAGAAUCAAGGAAUCAAUGGUGAUGCAAGGAACACGAUUUAGACAGGUUCGAGCCGCUAGAUCGCGUAAUACCCUACGUCUUGUGUGUUUGUCUGUAUUGAUCUUAGAUGCACUUGGAGUUGUUCUUUGAGGGGGGGGGUCCCUGCCCGCCCUUAUAUACACGGGAGGGCAGUGUUACAAGUCCGAGUCCUAGUCGAGUACAAUUACAGAGUUCUACUUGGCAAGGCUCGAGUAGUUUUCCAUGUGCAUUACUUGACUAGUCCGAGUGGGAUAUGCCUAUCCCUUGUCUUGAUCAUAUCCGAGUACGUCCCUUAGUGUGCCGUUCAGGGUCUACUCGUGAGCCUAGGGUACAUGCCCGACAAGCCCCCGAGUACUUUGUAGUCGUGCGCCACAGUCUCGAGUACUGUGGGCCCUAUCCGAGUAGUUCUUUUGUAGAAGUUGCAGUGUCCAGAGUGCUCGAGUACUGUGGCGUGGCUGGAAGGUACUCUUCUUGCUCCUUUGAGUUGCUUCUAUUUCGAGAAUUUUUUAUAUGGUAGUGCGAUGACAAUCGCACUCCAUAUGGAGUAGCCCCCGAGCCUUAGGUUGAGUCGAAGAGUCAGGCUUAGGGUCAAUCCUACUUCUUGACUGUUUUACUCUUGGUAAUCUGAAAAAGAAAAUUCUGACCAUCGGGUACGGUACCCGCAGCCCCCGAGCACUUAGGCGAUUUUUGUCAUUGAAGUGGUCAAGACCCGUUUAAAAGAGUAGCCGUUGGGUGUUUAAGGCAAUUAAUUUGUUUAAAACCCGUCCGUUGCGUAACUGACGCUUGGAAUCUGGAGGUGGCGGAGAUAUAACUGGAGGGCCCCCUUUCGGUUAGGUUUACGCCCCACUGUAGCAGAUCUGUUUUUCUUCUUCCCCCACCUUUCCGUUCCUAUUUUCCUUUGCCGCGAUUGUCUAGCGCUGCCGCCACUGUUGCUGCUCUUUUGAGAGAGAUCCAAGGUUGAGUGCUUUUUGCUACAGUUGAAGCCGGCGGAUGCGCACCAAGAAGAUGGGGAAGAAACCCGAGAAGGCUCAGGGCAAGGCUCCAGCAGCGGGCAAGGUGAAGUCUAAGAAGGGGAAGGAGCUGGUGUUGCCGGGGUCGAAGGUGGGGCCGACGAACCAAACUGCACCGCCGCCGCCUGGAGCGACGUGGCAGCAUUCUGUGAUGAAGGAGGCAGCCGUUCAGGCGCUUGUUGACGCCAAGCUUCUGCAGCCAAAACAUGUACUCGAGUGGAGGCCUGCCUUUGCUGAUGCGUGGCAAUUCGAGAAGCAUCCGAAUGAGAUGGUUAUGCUUGCUCACUUUAUGGAGAGAGGACUAGCCGUGCCUACCUCUGACUUCUUCAGAGGUAUCCUCGAGUACUAUAAGCUUCAACUUGUACACUUGAACCCCAAUGGUGUACUGCAUAUGUCGAUUUUUGUGCACCUUUGCGAAGUUUACUUGGGAGUUCCUCCUAGUCUUGAGCUGUUUAGGAUGUUGUUCUGUUGCAAGCCUCAGCCUAGUGCUGUUAGGAUAGAGGUCUUUGGGGGCGCCGGGUUCCAACUCAGGAACUCGGGCGCGUAUAUUGACUAUAAUUUGAUUGACUCCCAUGGAGAGUGGAAGAAGAGGUGGUUCUAUAUUGGGAACCAUAACCCUCGCUUGCCGGUGGUUACUGGUCACGCGCCAAAGCACGUAGAGAAUUGGGUGAGCGAGCCUGAAGAUACCCCAGAGCUCGAUCACUUGCUGCACCAGAUUUCCGAGUUGAAAGCACUCGGUUUGACUGGAGUUAAUGUGGCGGCUAGCUUUCUCAAGAGAAGAAUUCAACCCUUGCAAAAACGGGCUCACUUGGGUGGGGAAUACUCGGGUUUUAAUGACCCGUCUCGUAUGUCUCCGGAUGAUAUUUCUGAUGAUGAUGUUGAGGCACUGCUAGCCAAGUUCUUUAGGAACUAUCAAGGAGUACCAGUUAUUCCUUCAACGCUUCGUCAGUUUGAUGCUUGGUAUCAGCCAGAAGUGGUAUGGCCUUUCACUUUGACUUGUACUUUUUGAACUGUUUGGGAUACUGUUUGAGUGUCGACUUGUUUUUGUAGUUCCGAGUUCUUGCCGGCUACUUGGCACAGUCGGAAGAAGAAGAAUCUGUUGUUGAAGAGUCAGAGGACGAGCCCUCUCCUCCUGUGAAGAAACGCCGGGUAGUCCGCAAGAUGUCUGCUACUAAGUCUGCCUCGACUUCUCCUCCUGAGAAGGCUCAGGGUGCCAAGGUAUGUAGCCGUGUACUCACUUGUAGCUGAUGGAUUUUAACUUGUAAUCUUUUAAUCACUUUAUCUGUCUCAAAAGGCUGACGAUGCGGCGCUCGGUGACGAUGAGGCUGCUUCGGAUGAAGUAGUCGUGACCACCCAGGGCAUUGAUGUUAUGUCUGUUGAGAAGGUGCCAGAGAAGGUGCCACCAACUGGUGUUGGAGUAGCCCCCGGGCUAUCAGUCCAGGCUCCAUCGGCUAUCGCGCUGCCGGUCCCUGACCAGGCAGUCCUGGUUUUGCCUGCUGGAGUAGCGGACGAUGUUGUAAAGGGAGUAUCGCCAGUAGUUGCUACUGGUUCUUUGUUGUCCAAUGUGAUUGCUAGUGGUGAGCUUUCUUUCCCGACUGUUUUUGUUAGCUUGAGUUUAUUGUAGUCUUGACCCUGUGUUUCCCAGGUCUUGGCGAGAAGACAGCGCCAGCAGCUGCUCCUGUGGCGCCGAGUACUCGGCUGCCUGUUGCCAAGAAGAAGCAUGUGCGAUUGCUGCCAUGAUCAACUCGGUGAGUUGUUUAUCCUUGGUGUGUGUCUUCGAAUUUUCUUGAAGUCAUGUCAUGACUUUGUAUUUUGAUGUAGGGAUGCAGAGGAGACUAUCCCUGUAGAGGCAGGAGUAGAUUCGUGUCCCCCGACUACUCUUUCUGCUCCUUUGGAGGAUUUGACUGUCGACGAAGUAUCCGGAGUUGAUGCUAGUCGCCUUGGAGCUACCAUGUCUAUGCUUCAAGAAGUGAUCCGUUCGGUGGAGGAUCCCUCAGCUGCUUCGGGUUCUGGGAAUGUAUCCUUGUCAGCGUCUACUAGCAGAGCUUUGGCUGUAGUGGAUGUGGAGAAAUCCAAGGAACCAGCUGCUCUAGGUAUGUAGCCGUGGUCCUGGUAUUUGUAGUCGUAGUAUUGAAUUGACCGAUGUUAUGGUCUUGGGUGCAGCUCCGCAUGCCAUGAAGAUUACUGAGGGUCCGGUACUCGAGCUUCCAUCUGAGUCGGAGUUUCAGAGAGCUGUUGAUGUGUUUCAAAGCUUCCAGGUGUGUUUUGUCGCUUUGUCUAACAGAUUUAGUAGCUAAGGGACUUGAUCGUUUGCUUUGCUUUGCAGGAUCUGUAUGACAGGACGCAAAGGAACGCUCGGGCCCUUCAGGAGCGAAACGAACAAUUGGAGCAGGAGUGUGCCUGGCUUACAGAAUCCUUGAGGGUUCAUGAAGCUGGAGCGAUAUCCUUUGCUGUGGAACGGUCAGAUCAUGAAGUCUUGCAACAGAAGUUGCAGAGCCGCUACAAGUCUUUGAAUAAAAAGUAACAAGGUGAGUACUGUCCAUGCUCUGAGUAAGUCCGACUGUAGUCGGUUGUUUGAACUUGGUCAUUUUUGCAGAGCUCAAGAGGAAGGAGGCUCCUGCGAGUAGCCAACUCCUUGACUGGAGAAACGAGCACGACCGAGUAGCGGAUGAAGCUGAACAUCUUCAGGCCGCGCUGACGGAAGCACAGGCUGCUUGCGAGCAUCAGCGAGACAAGAAGAUCCAGAAUGGGGUGAUGCUUCCUAUGGCCAUGGUGGCAUGCAGAGAUCAUGCCCAGACUGUAGGAAGACUUCGAGGCGAGCUUCAGGAGUUAACUGACGCCGCUCAGGACUUGGUGAAUGCUAUUGCCCCCUUGGAAGAGGAUGCAGGACCUCAAUCACUAGUCGAGCGUUUGAAGACUACUCUAGGUAAAGUGGCCGGCCUCUGCAAGGCUGUUUGCAAACAAGUCCUUGCUGUGGUCAAGUCAUACUACCCGAGGGCAAAUUUGUCGGCGGCUGGUGACGGCGUUGCUCGCAACUGCACAGAGGAAGCCUAUGCACAGUACCUCGAGGAGGCGGAGCCAAUCGCGUCGAAGAUGUCGGAAUUUGUAUCUCUGGAGGAGCCAUGAGCGUUUAUGUACUCUUGUAAAUUUCCGAGUACUUUGAACGGUAUUUUGUCUGAGAGAUGAACGUUUGUCCAUAUUUUGUUGUUUGAAAUGACGCUGACCCGGCGCGGGAAAGGAGCAGUUCACUCCAUCUCGCCCAACCCAAGGUCCCGGGGCCGGAUACGCCCGACCCUUGACGAAAACUCCACCUCGCCCGACCCAAGGUCCCGGGGUCGGAUACGCCCGACCCUUGACGAAAACUCCACCUCGCCCGACCCACGGUCCCAGGGUCGGAUGCGCCCGACUCCUUGCCGCAAGUAUCCGCCUCGCCCGGGGUUGGACUUAUGUAAGCCCCCAAGACAAGGAUGCACAAACCAUGCUUGGCGGAAGUGGUUCUGAAGACUGAGUUUGAGUAGUUGUGAUCUAGUUGAGUACCCUUGUUACUCUGUGAAUAGGAGGUGCACGAGUGUACUGUACUCUUUUGUCCUUUGUGGCAUGAAUGCUUUCACAUGGGCAGUCAGAGAUCGUCCAGACUCAUCGAUCACGGGGGCAUAGUAAAUCCUGGGUGGUUGGUGGUUGCAGCCCUUGGCUAUAAAUAGACCGCCCUGGAGGUCGACCCGAAUCAAGCUUUGAGUAGUGAUGGAUUGCCUUCGGUUGCUGUUGUUUGAGUGUAGAGAGCCUUUAAAGAGUACACUGGUGCUAGAAGAUUCCUCGUAGGUUGGAGCCACCUUCCCUCCACAGACUCUAGCGCUCAUAGGGAUAGCCGCGAUGCUAAAAGAAUCCUCGUAGGAGGUUUCAUCGCGCGCCUCAUCUUGCAGCUCGUGAUCCAACGGAGUACGCGCUGGAACUCGUGGGUGAUGGGUGAUGAGUGCCGUGGUAUUUAUCCCACUCACUUAGAGGUGGAGGUGUGGCCGUAGAAUGGGUUGGCUCGGCAAGGCUAGCAAAAGAGCAGCCUUGGUUCCUUCUUUGCGCGGCACGCGGGAUUCAUCGUUACCGCUGUCAAGGUAGCGGCAGUGCAGGAGUACCUGGCGUUGCCUUGGGUAGAGGACCUGGAUAUGGCUGCGUUUUGCGCAGCUUCCUUGCGUGUAGGUUCCUCCCGUUGUAGUCGACAAACCUGAGUGGCCUUGUGAUAUUGUAAAAGCCUGAGGCUUAAAUGCAGCCCGCCAGUAGGCAGUUGCUUGUAGUAUUUUUGUAUUUUGAGUACUUUUACUCAUAUGUAAUUUGAGGUAUUUUUGGACUUGAGUAAAGAAUUACUCUACCAUUGAGGCUUUGUACCAGAGCUGGAAUGCCUGUUGAGUUGGUAGCAUUGAAUCAAGAGUAGUGUGUUUUGUAGUCGGUAGUCGAGCUGUUGGCUCGAGUAGUAGACGAGUUUUUGCUUGAAGCAAUUACUCGAGUUCUGCUACAGGUAGUAGUGACAGAGGUGUUCUAUAUUUCAAGAGUUUGGUACUUGUUCUCCUGAGAGCUCUUGUAGUCUGUAAGAUCCGGGUCCUGUGACCUUGGAUACAAUGUAAGGGCCUUUCUGUGGUGAAUUGAGUUUAUGCAACCCAGACAUGUCUUGGAUUCGUUUGAGGACCAUGUCACCUAAGCUGAAAGAUCGUUCUUUGACAUUGCGGUCGUGGUAGCGCCUUAACCCAUCAAGGUAUCUAGCAGAUUGUACUAGCACUGCACACCUUGCUUCUUCUAGACUGUCUAGAUCAGUGCGCCUUGUUUCUUCUACUAUUUCUUCAUCGUAUUGUUCGACUGAGGGAGAUUGCCACAUGACGUCUGCGGGUAAUAUAGCUUCUGAGCCAUAUACGAGGAAAUAAGGAGAGAGCCCAGUAGUCUUGCAUGGUUGGGUUCGUAGUCCCCAUAGAGCAUUGGGUAAUUCCUUGAGCCAUUUGCCUCUUGUGUUGCCGACGUCAUGUAGUCAUUUCUUAAGAGCUUCGAGUAUCAUGCCGUUGGCACGCUCAACUUGUCCAUUGGCUCGUGGGUGAGCAACAGAGACGUAGCGGACGUCAAUGUCGCUAUUCUCGCAGUACUCCCAGAAGUCAUGAUUGUUGAAGUUGGAUCCUAGGUCUGUGAUGAUUCUGUUGGGAAAGCCGUAACAGUGUACGAUUUCAUCCAAGAAGUUGAGGACUCGGUCUGCCUUGGGGCAAGUGACUGGUUUGACCUCGAUCCACUUGGUGAAUUUGUCGAUAGCCACGAAUACUUGGUUGAAUCCGCCUGGCGCAGUUGGUAGUGGCCCUAUCAUGUCGAGCCCCCAGCAGGCAAACGACCAUGUUGGAGGUAUUGUGACUAGCUUGUAGGCGGGGACAUGUUGCUGUUUAGUGAAGAAUUGACAACACUUGCACUUCCGAACUAACUGUUUAGUGUCAGCCAGAGCCAUUGGCCAGUAGAAACCUGCUCUAAAAGCUUUGCCAACUAUUGUUCGUGAAGAUGCAUGGUUGCCGCAGAUCCCCUUGUGAAUUUCUUCUAGGAUUUCUUGGCCAUCUUCACGGGUAACACACUUCAUGAGUACCCCUGAUGAUGCACUUUUCCUAUAGAGCUUGUCUCCGACUAGAACGUAGUUUUUUCCUCGCCGAGAGAUCUGUUCAGCUUGAUUUUUGUCAGAGGGUAACUUGUGAUCCUUGAUGUAGUCGAUGAAGGGUGUCCUCCAAUCGACUUCUAUCAUCAUGAUUUCUCGAGUAGCGUCAGUAGUCUGGACUACUGGGGGUGUAACUUGUUCAGGUAUGGACGGUUUGUGCAGUUCGUGUACGAAAAUUCCUGCUGGAACCUCUGCACGAGUUGAGUCCAUUUUUGAUAAUACGUCGGCGGCUACGUUGUUGUCGCGGACGAUGUGAUGAAAUUCCAAGCCUGAGAACUUGUUUUCUAGUUUGCGGACUUCUUUUCAAUAAGCGUCCAUGUUGUAUUUGUUUUGAUCCCACUUGUCAUUGACUUGGUUUAUAACGACUAGUGAGUCGCCGUAUACUAGUAGUCUUUUCAUGCCGAGGGAAAUUGCAAGGCGAAGGCCGUGUAGCAGUGCUUCAUACUCGGCUUCAUUGUUUGAAGCUUCCCAGAAGAUUUGCAGCACGUACUUGAGUUGCUCUCCCUUUGGGGAAAUGAGGGUACGCCUACACCGGCUCCUUCAAGUUUGAGGGACCUGUUGAAAUACAUUACCUAGUGCUCUGGCCGCUCGACUGGUGUGGGUACUUGAUUUUCAGUCCACUCAGCCACAAAGUCGACCAAAGCCUGAGACUUGAUAGCUAUUCUUGGCUUGAAGUCCAAGGUUAAAGCUCCGAGUUCAACUGGCCAUUUGGAGAUUCUACCCGUGGCGUCUCUGUUGUGGAGGAUUUUGCCGAGCGGGAAGUCAGAAAUGACUGUGAUGCUGUGUUCUUGGAAAUAAUGGUGCAGUUUCCAGGAGGUGAGCAGAAUUGCGUAUAGGAGUUUCUGUAUCGGUGAGUACCGAGUUUUGGCGUCCGAGAGUACUUCAUUGACGAAGUACAUAGGUCUUUGGACUUUGUAAAUGUGGUCUGGUUUAGACCGUUCAACUACUAUCGCCGUGCUGACGACAUGGGUAGUAGUUGCUAUGUAUAGGAGCAAGUCUUCGUUUGGAGAUGGAGCAGUGAGUACAGGAGGCUUUGACAGAAAGUGUUUCAGUUGCGUCAGUGCCUUGUCUGCCUCUUCUGUCCAUUUGAACUUGUCCUGUCAUUUGAGAAGCUUGAAGAAGGGUAGUACCCAUUCUCCAAGCCUCGAGAUGAACUGAUUGAGAGCUGCCAUGCAGCCUGUGAGUUUAUGCACAUCCUUGAUGCUAGCUGGUGCUUGCAUGUUUGUGAUGGCAGAUAUUUUCUUCGGGUUGGCCUCAAUGCCGCGAUGGCUAAUGAUGAACCCGAGUAACUUGCCAGAAGGUACUCCGAAGACGCAUUUAGUAGGAUUGAGUUUCCAUUGGAAAGCUCGUAGACUAGAGAAGGUUUCCUCCAGAUCGGCGAUGAGUUCCUCUUGGUUUCUUGUUUUGAUGACUACGUCGUCCAUGUAAGCUUUGACAUUUGCGGUGGAGUUGCUUCUCGAAGCACAUCUGUAUGGCUCGUUGAUAGGUUGCCCCAGCAUUUUUUAGUCCUUUUUAGCAGAAGGCUCCAAAUGGUGUGAUGAAGACUGUUUUAGCUUGAUCUUCUUCUUUGAGGCUUAUCUGGUGGUAGCCUGAGUAACAGUCGAGAAAACAUAGUAAAGCACACCCAGCAGUAGAGUCGACCACUUGGUCGAUCCUGGGUAGUCCGAAAGGGUCUUUGGGACAUUGUUUGUUGAGGUCCGUAUAAUCGAUGCACAUUCUCCACUCGUUGUUUUUCUUGCGAACGAGUACAGGAUUGGCUAGCUAGUCAGGGUGAAAGACUUCUUUGAUGAACCCUACCACAAGUAGCUUGGCUAGCUCUUUUUUGAUUGCUUCUCGUCUGUCUUGAGCGAACCUGCGGAGUCGCUGCCGUUUUUGAAAAGAAGCUUUGGGAUCAACAUUUAGAGAGUGCUCGAUCAGCUCCCUGGGCACACCGGGCAUGUCAGCUGGUUUCCAAGCGAAGAUAUCAUAGUUAGCCCGAAGGAAAUUGACGAGCGUGGAUUCCUAUUUAGGAUCUAGCCCUGUUCCGAUCAGGGCUAUCUUGGAGGGGUCGCCUGUCUGGAGAUCGACUGGUUUGAAGUCAUGCUCGGUUGCGGGUUUCACAUUUGUAGACCCCGACUUGUUUUCUGGGAUCUCGAGUUCGGUUGGAUGGAGCUUCUUUGAAGCUGUAAAGACUUGUUGCAUGGGGCUAGGUGCUUGAGAAGUCGCGGCGAUCUCAGCGGCUUCAGUGUCGCAUUCGUAGGAUCACCGUAGAUCUCCCCGUAGCGUUAGUUAUCCCUUUGGCCCUGGCAUUUUGAGUACCAAGUAAACAAAAAUGUGGAAUGGCCAUGAAAUUGGCAAGUCCUGGCCUUUCGAGUAUGGCGUCGUAAGAUGUCUUGAAGUCGGCGACUUCAAAUCUGAUAUACUCGGUGCGGUAGUGUUCCUUAGUUCCAAAGGUAACUGGAAGGACGACUUGUCCUAGCGGUAUGGCUGUGUUUCCUGGUACGAUGCCGUAGAAAGGUGAAUCUAUUGGAGUGAGCAUUUCUGUGAUGCCGAGGCACAUCUUUCUUAGUGUUUUGGCGAAAAUGACGUUAAGUCCACUUCCACCAUCGAUGAGUACCUUUGUCAGCUUUGACCCUGCCACAACGGGAUCGAGUACUAGAGGGAAUCGGCCUGAUUCUGAGAAUUUGGUCCAUUGGUCCUUCCUGGUGAAGGUUAUGGGCACUUUUGACCAUUUUAGCGGUGUUGGAUCUGUUGGCUCGAUGGCCAUGAUUUCCCUGAGUACGAGUUUGCUGGCUUGCUUGGAUGCGGUGCCUAGGAUUCCGCCAAAGAUGACGUUGACUAUCUUGGAGGCGGUCUGGAAGUUGCCUUCUUCUUCUUCGUCGUUGUGGACUUUGUUUUUGCCCUUCUCCUUUUUCUUGCUGUAUUCUUCAGGGGGUGGUGGUGCGGGUAAGUCUUGCAUGACUUGACGCAUGCUGUAGCAAUCUAUUGCCGAGUGCUUGCUGGUCGGGUGUCAUGGGCACUGCUUUUUGAGUAGCUCGGUGAAGGUUGGGCCUUCGUCGUUUUUGCGGGGUCCCUUUUUCCCGGAAUUGGUCAUGGCAGCAAUGGUGUUGUCGGGCUUCCUUUUGCGAUUCUGAUUACUCAAAAAGUUGUUUCGAGUAUCAUUGUGUCGAGUUCUAUCCUGAUCAUUAUUGUUGUUGCGUCCUCGGUUGCGAUGAGAGCCAAACCAUUCUCGCACUUUGUCUUCUUCAUCUGCCCACUGUUGUACCAUGAUUUUAAGGUCUUUGACAUUAGCUGGUUGUCGUCGACCAAAGUCUUGGUAUGUCCGUCGAUCGUAGAGUCCAUUCUGGAAGCACUCGAUGAUGUCUAUUUCUGAAAUGUCAACUAUAGUUGCCUUCUUUUCGAAGAAUCAUCGCAAGUAGUCACGUAAGGUUUCACCUUCUUUCUGCUUUAUUUGACUCAGGUCGAUCUUGUCGCCUGGUCUAGCCAUGUAGCUGGCAUAGUUGUUUGUGAAGGCCUUUGUCAAAUCGGCCCAAGAGUCGAUUGAUUUGGGUUUGAGGGACUCGAGCCAUGUCAGUGGUGCGGGUUCCAUGCAUAUGAGAAAUUUGAUAACUUUGGUAUCGUUAUUGCCCCCAACUACCUGGACUGCCAAAGACUAGCAUUGUAGCCAUUGAAUUGGGUCAUGUUUGACGUCAUACUUGGUGAUUCCUGUUGGCUUGAACUUCUCAGGUAGUCUUGUCUUUAUUACCCGAUUUGUGAAAGCAGGAAAGUGGUUGUAGUUGUCGACUUCUUGCUCACACCGACUAUUGAGUAUUUCUCGCAGAUCACUGAAAUUUGAUACUUCGUGAUUUUUCCGAGUAGGGCGAAUACUUUUUACGGAGUUAGUGCAGCUGACUUCUCCAACAUCCUUAUGGCGUAUUGGGGCAUUCUGUUUGCUUGGGCCUUGGCUAUUUUGCCAAGUUUGGUUGACGACAUCGUUUUCGUUUCUUUGAGCAUCGUUAUUGUUGGCUGCAGCACCUCUGCUGCCUUCUUGAUGAGCUGUGAUGCGAGGAACAUAUGGGAUUGGUGAUUCUUUGUCGAGUAGCUUGUAAGCUUCCUCUGCGAGUUGUGCGAUUAGUCCGUUGCCGUGCUGUACGAGCUGAGCUGUGGCUUCAUUGUCCCUGUCUUGAGGUAUUAACGUUGUUAAAAGAUUGAUAGAAGCGAUUGCUGCGAGUGGAGUGGUAUGUUCUUGAGCCUGAACUGCGUCAAAUGCUCUUUCAAGGUUUGUGAUGGGAAUAUUUGUAGCCAUCGUCUGCCGUCGCUCAGCUCGAGUAGCAUUGCGCGUCCUUCUUUGGUCCAUUUGAUCGGAAGUUUUGCCUUGUGGGGCAUUAGCUGUUGACUCGUCUUCUGAGACGUUGUCAAGUUGUGCUAAUCGCCUGGGGGUUCUGUUCUGGCUAGUACCCGGGUUGUUAUUUUGAGUAAUAACAAAGACUUCCCUAUCUGGGUAGUAGCUUCCGGAGCUUGAUGUUGCAAUUUCUGUGGAACUUUCCUCGCGGAUUGAAGUGAGUGGGACGCCUUCUUGGUACGAGAGAUUGUCUAUGUGAGCGACGAGGCGUGACUCAUAGUCGCGGGCAAGGGAUGGUCUCAUUCCUGGCCAGUGAACGAAUCUGCCUUGUGAUGUUGUGGUUAUUACCAGACCCUGAGCUGGUCCUGAUAAUGGUAUCUCUGGAAGAUAGACCGAGUCGGAGUCAUCAUCUUCGUCGUCCCCAAGUUUGAGUUGAAUUCGAGUGAGAAAACUCUGGUGGGCUUUGGCUGCAUUGCGGAGUUCGUUUGGAAACUAUUUUGGAGUCGAAGUCGAUUUGGGAAGCGACUGGGACCGACUAGUCCGAACCAAAGUCGAGUCUGACGUGUAGUCGAACUCGAGGUUGUUGACUUUGAAAUUUUGGUUUUUGCUAACCGAAUCCUCCGAUUUCAUCUCCUGGACGUUGGUGAUGUGGCGCCGGAACGAUCCAGCAGCAUUGGCGAUGCAGAGCCAGGAUCCAAAAACGAAGGUUGCGCCCGCUUCAAUGGUGAAGACGGGCUUGAUGAUGAUCGUUGCCAUUGAGUUCACGCUGAGAAACUCGACGAGUCCCCCUACCUGGCGCGCCAGCUGUCAGUGUUUUAGACCGGCAACCCUCCUAGGGGUACCCUAGGUGGUCUUUUGUGCGGUAAGGGCCGUCGAGAAUCAAGGAAUCAAUGGUGACGUAGGAAACACGAUUUAGACAGGUUCGGGCCGCUAGAUCGCGUAAUACCCUACGUCCUGUGUGUUUGUCUAUAUUGAUCUUAGAUGCACUUGGAGUUUUUCUUUGAGGGGGGGUCCUUGCCCACCCUUAUAUACACGGGAGGGUAGGGUUACAAGUCCGAGUCCUAGUCGAGUACAAUUACAGAGUUCUACUCGGCAAGGCCCGAGUAGUUUUCCAUGUGCACUACUUGACUAGUCCGAGUGGGAUAUGCCUAUCCCUUGUCUUGAUCAUAUCUGAGUACAUCCCUUAGUGGGCCGUUCAGGGUCUACUCGUGGGCUUAGGGUACAUGCCCGACAUGCAUGUCUACUAGUUUCCAUGCAGAGAUGUCUCAAUUGGCCUGAAGGAAGCUGACGAGCGCAAUUUCCUAUUUAGGAUCCAACCAUGAACCGAUCAGGACUGUCUUAGAGGUGUCACCGAUCUCGAGGUCAAUGGAUUUGAUGUCCAUGUCACUUGCCGGCUUGACCUUGGUAGCCCUUGACUUGUUCUCUGGAAUUUCGAGUUCAGUCGGGGAGAGCUUUUUUGAAGCAGCGAAAACUUGUUGCAUUGAAUUGGGCACUUGAGAAGUUGCGGAUAACUUGACAGAUUUUGUAUCGUACUCAUAUGUUUUAUUCAAGUCUCCACGGAGGGAGAGGGCUCCCUUGGGUCCCGGCAUCUUAAGUACUAAGUACACAUAAUGCAGGAUGGCCAUGAACUUGGCCAAUGUUGGUCUUCCAAGUAUGGCGUAAAAAGUCUCAAAAUCCGCCACCUCGAACCGGAUGUACUUUGUCUGGUAGUGCUCCUUGGUCCCGAAGGUAACUGGCAAGACUACCUGUCCAAGAGGUAUAGCCACGUUGCCUCGGACGAUCCCAUAGAAGGGAGAGCUCGUCGGGGUGAGCAUCUCCAUGAUGUUGAGACCCAUCUUCUUUAAAGUCUUGGCAAACAGGACGUUGAGGCCACUGUUGUCGUUGAUGAGUACCUUGGUGAGCCUAGAGCCAGCAACAAUCGGGUCCAAGACGAGAGGAAAUCGUUCUGGUUCUGAGAAAUUAGUCCACUGAUCUUUCUGAGAGAAGGUAAUUGGUACUUCAGACCACUUGAGGGGUGUGGGUAUAGCAGGCUCAAUGGACAUAAUCUCUCGUAGCACUAGCUUCUGGGACCACUUCGAGGUGGUACCCGGGAUCCCACCAAAAAUGACAUUGACAGUCUUGGAUGGGGUCUGUAACUUGCCGUUACCAUCCUUGUCUUUGUCUUCCUUGGCUUUUCCUUUGUCAUUGGUACCCGAUGGCUCUGCCAAGUCCUUCAUUACUCUGCGUAGGCUGUAGCAGUCUAUCGCAGCGUGUUUGUGGUGAGAAUGCCACGUGCACUAUUUUUUCAAGAGCUCGCUGAAAGCGGGCCUGUCUUGUCUUCUGCCACCUCCUUUCUUGGACAAUUGAGAUAUCGCCACGAUAGUAUUGUCUGGUUUGGGCUUGCGGCUGUGACCUACUGAGUAGUUAUUUUGGUGAUCGCCAUUACGGUUCUUGUCAUUGUCCUGGCCGCUGCUCUGAUUGUUGUUGUGCUGGCCUUGAUUGUGAUUUGACUCGAACCUUUCAAGCUCUUUGUCUUCUUCGUCUGCCCAUGCUUGCGCCAUAAUCUUGAGUGACUUGACAUCAUGGGGGCACCGUCUGCCAAAGUCUUGGAACAUACGAUGAUUGUAGAGACCGUUCUGGAAACAGUCGAUGACGUCUUGCUCUGAGAUGUCUACAAUGGUGGCAUUCUUAUCGAAGAAACAACGUAGGUAGCUUUGUAAGGUCUCGUCUCGCCGUUGCUUUACUUGUGCCAAGUCAAGUCUGUUGCCUGGACACUACAUUGCUUCCACGUAAUUGUUGGUAAAUGCCUUCUUGAGAUCUUUCCACAAGUCAAUCAAGUUUGACUUCAAUGAUUCGAGCCAAGUGAGCGGCACUGAUUCCAUGCAUAUGUGGAAAUAGAUGACUUUUGUGUCAUCGUUCCCUCCUGCAGCUUGAACUGAUAAUGAGUAGCAUCGAAGCCAUUGAACUGGGUCCUGCUUGCCAUUGUAUUUGGAGAUGCCUAGAGAUUUGAAUUUCUCGGGCAAAAUAGUCUUCCUGACCCGACUUGUGAAAGCCGGGAAGCUAUCGUUGUCGUCGCCCCUGUACUUAACUUCAAGUUCGCGCUCACGACGCAGUCCUUUGAUGAUGUCACGAGCAUUGUGGUUGUUGUUUAUCACCUCUCAAAGAUCCACCACGGGAUGCGUGGGCUCAGGAUCGGCUUUGUGUUGGCGGCAGCCUCCCACAAAAGGUGUCUGAUUACCCUCGGGUAUAUCCCAAUUUUGUCUAGCGCCUCCAGAUUGUCGAGCUGAAGGGCCUCUAUGGCUACUACCAUGUUGAAUUCACUGGGAUGGAGUACGUGAUACCGAGGCUAUCGGAUUCUUCCUGUUGAGUUGUUCAUAGGCAUGUUCCACCAGCGCUACCAACUGCCUGGUAUAUCUGUCCUGUGGUAUGGCAUGGGUAAUAAGGUCAAUGGAAGCAAUGGUGGUGAGAGGCGUACGGUGUUGCCGCAUUUGGACUGCUUUGAAAUCUUUGUCCAGAUUCAUGAUCGCAAACCUCUCUGCCAGCCAGCGAUGACGAUCCGCUCUCACUGCAUUCCUUGCUCAUCGUUGUGUUCUUUGAGCUUCAAUCUCCUCCACGAUGACAUUGGCGGUUAGUUCGUCCUGCGAGACGUCAUCAGGGUGACACUCGUGUCGAGGAUUCCUCUCUGGUGGAUCGCCGUUCUCCAUAUCUUACCCUAUGACGAGCGCGAAGAGGUCUCUAUCUGGAUAGUAGCUUCCAGAACUUGAGGUGAUAACUUCUGUAGAGCCGUCGUGUAACAUCCUAAAAAUCACCAACUUAAAAUCACCCGUUAAAAAUCGCUUUCAAAAUCUUUUUACCGCUGAGCUCCCGGAAAUCCAAACUCUUCCCGGCGAUUUCGCCGUCCCGGCACUCAAGCCAACAGCCAUCAUGUUAUCCGUGCCCGUAAUUUUUGCCGCGUGCCAUUGUCAAGCGCCGCGCGCGUGCUCCGACCGCAUGCCGCAAUCGCCGCCGGUCUCCCUCUUUUCUUUCUCUUUCACACUCCCUUUUUCUUUUUCUUUUUCUCCUUCCUUUCUUCUUCUUCUUUCUUCUUCCUCCUUCCUUCUCUCUCCUCCUCCUUCUUCUUCCUGGCGUCCGCACGCCCGGCCCCAAUGCCAUUAAUCCCCCGGUGCCCACCUUCCCUGGUGCCAUAUCGCCGGCCGCCCGACCCCCCUCUGCGCGCCUGGGACCCGCGCCACCCGGCCCGGCGCCGACGCCUCCCCUCGGGCCGCGCGCCCGACCCGACCCCGGCCAGCUGCGCCGCCCCGCUCCGGCGACCGGCCGCCUCAGCCCCGCACGCCCGCCCCUCCUGCGCCGGCCCCGCCUCCGGCCCCGCUCCAUGCCGCCCGCCGCCGGCCCCUACCUCCCUGCCCCGGCACGCCACCGGUGCCGUGCCGCCAAGCCAUCCCGCCGGCCGCUCGGUCCCCUACCACCGGUGCCCUCCUCGCCGGCCUAUAAAAGGCCUCAACGCCCCGGCUCUCCCCAUCCUCCAUCCACCAACACCGCCCCUCCCUCGCCAAGCACCGCCGCCGUCGUGCGCCACCGCCCGUGCGCCGCUCCUCCCGUGCGCCGCCGCCACCCGAGCCACCACCGGCCACCCCUUCCCAUCUCCAACUCUCCAAGGUAAGGGGCAAAAUGGAGCCCCCUCCCCUUCCUCUGCCGCCCCUGGCCCUCGGCUCGCCGGCGGCGAGGUUCUGCUGGCCGGCCACCGCCGGCCCCCAACCCCACCUCUCUUCCUCUCUUUGUUCCUGGGGAGAAGAAGAUAAGGUGUCCCAGAUUUUCGAUCUGACCCCCAAGUUUUCCCAAAUUGCACAUAUGUCCUUCCACCACUCUCAUAAACCUAUUCGCUGAUAAGCCCCUCCACCUCCAAAAGUAUUUACAAAUAGGUCCAGUAUUCACAAAUAGGUCCCUGGUUUAUCGCAAAUCAGUCCUAAACCUCCUUUUUAAGCCCCUAAUCCAUGUUUAACUCAUCAUCUCAUGCGCCAAACUUCCUCCAAUUAACCCAAAAUUCAACCACGUCAUCCUCCACUAUACUUCCGCUGAUCCAUAUCCAAAUUUCCCCAAAAAUACUCUUUCUACCUAUUUUCCGUUCGCGUUUUCUAUUCGGAGCUCAACGGGUAAAAACCGAUUUUCUUUUAUUUAUUUGUGUGCCCAUUUGUGUGUGCCGUAGAUCACGGAGUACCCGAGGAGGAGCCCGAGGAGGAGUUUGACUGCGAGCCCAAGCCCGAGGACCAGCAACACGAGCCGAAACUCCCGGAAGGCUUUGAAGACGGCAAGUCCAAUCUCACCCUUUGAUGCAUACUUAAUACCUAGUUUUUCAAACACAACCCAUUGGCCUGUUUUAUAAAAUGCAUAUUGUUUUAUUGCAAGACAUGGUUGGAUAGCCACCCCUUGAUUGUUAUAAAAUUUCCUUGUUGUCCUAUGUUUGUCUCUAAAUAUGACUUGCUUUGUUUAGAUGAUAACUACUGCUAGAACGCUUAGGAAUUUGUUAGUCAACUUCAAACAUUAUUACAAUGGUUUAUUUGGUGAAUGAAUGUGUGUGUGUGUUCAAAAUGGGAAAAUGGGUUUCCGGGUUCAAAGGCAAGAAAGGUGUAGAUGAGAUGGAUGGGUGUUUCUUGUGUGAAAUGCCACGAUGUUGUCCUUGUACCUUAGUGUUUGAGCAAUGUCGGGAGAUGUCCAUCUUGUCAUGGUUAAGGACUGAGUUGAUGUGUCAUCUUGCCUAAUUCAACCAUCGUGCAACCACUCGACCAUUGUAUGGGCAACGGCUUAGCAUAAAUCCCACUAGCUGAACUGAUAGUCUUCAGGUGUGCUAGUGAGCAACGGGAGCCCAUGGAAAAGGAGUAAGAUCUUGGUGACUUAGGUCCCAGUUACGGUCUCGUGGAUGAGCUGUGAACCCCUUGGGUGCUUCCGUGUGGACUAGCCAGUCUUAGCUAAGGUGGGUAAUGGCUUUGCUAGGAUCCGCACCGGCACUAAGGUGAUCGUGCUGCGGUACCCUACUUGUGGGGAAAGUGUACAAGCUCUGCAGAGUUAAAACCUAUCCGGGUAGCCGUGUCCACGGCAAUGGACGAGUUACGGCUUGGUCACAUAACUAGCAUUUGGGGAUGGAUGGUUAUAGGUGUGCGUGUGUGUGUUGGAUUUUGGAAGAGUCCGGCAGUUGUGCCGUGAGCUAUGGUAGACGAAGAGUCCGAUAGCAAUAAAAUUUGGAUCCUUUGUGUAGGAUCAACCCCACUCAAUGUUUCGGUUACUAAAGAAAAGCUCUACAAAAACUCCUUUGAAAACAAGCCCAUGCAUGUGUUGAAAAUCUAGCUUUAUUACAAAUGAACUCUAGCCUAUCCUUGUUAUAUCCUGUGCAUAUACUUGCUUGUAUCCCCCUCUGUGGAUGGGGUUGGACUUGUUGAGUACGUUUGUACUCACCCUUGCUUCGUUGCUACAGAGGAAGACCCGGACUUCAUCUCCGAGGACUUUGAGUAGAAGGUUGUGUCCACACCCAACGUUGCCUGUGGUGUUGGCCUUUCCAAGAUGCUUCUGCUGCCGUGUAGUCCCGAGUGCUGUCUUUUGGUAGUCGCUUAGUUAGCUGUUGUUGUUUAUUUGCUUCUUAUCGCUGCGUGGCUUUCACGCCCACUCCCUCGGGAGUUGUACGGUAACUGAAUUAUCUGUCGAAUAAAUGUGUUAUUAGCCUCCUGGGACUGAUAUUUGCAUCACAUUUAGUCUCUACUUAUGUGGGGACGCUUCACGUCGCCUUCAUGGAUAGGGGAUAGGGGCGUCCCUUCCUGGUAUAGGAGAACAUCGAGGUGGACGAUGAAGCGUGACUCGUUGUCCUGGGCAAGGGCGGGUGGCCUCAUGCCAGGCCAGUAGACGAAUCUUCCUUGGGGGGUCGAAGUGAUCACCAGGCCCUGCUGCGGGCCUUAUAAUGGCAUCACCUCAUCAGAAUCCGAGUAAUAAUCGUAGUCGUGGUCCUCAAUCGCACCCGAGUUGGAUUGCAAUCUGGAUAAAGCUGCUUGAUAGAUGGCAGCUGCGUUAUGGAGUCCGAACGGGAAUCUGCUCGAAACUUGACUCGAUUCGCACGAUGGCUGGAACGCCGGCUCGUGGGAACCAAUCCGAGUAGAUCUAGAGCCUGAGUUGUACUCGGACUUGCUUCUCAAUCUUUGGAACAGAUCGAAAAUUUCGUUGAAUCUCUCAACAAAUUACUCCAAAGCUUGGUGAUGAAGGUUGAUGUCAUAAAGCUUGUCCUCCGAGGCCUCCACGAUGUGAUGGUAGAAACUUCCAGUGCCAUCUGCGAUGCUAUAGAGAAGUAGAUGGGAAACACCACCCACCCUAAUGAGGGGGGUGACCUCUAUAUAUAUGGCUAAUAUGGCUUGGAGUACAAGGAAUACAUCAAGUGUACAAGGAAAUGAUAAAUACAUCCUAAUAUACACAUAUACUCCCUAAUAGACGCAGACCCAAGAGCCGAAGAUGAACGUCGCGCCCACUUCAAACGCGACUGCGGGUUUGAUGAUAAUUUGUGCCAUUAAACUCGCAAGGGAAAUCUCGGCGAGUUCCCCUACCUGGCACGCCAACUGUCGGUGUUUAAACCUGGCAACCUACCAAGGGGAGUACCCAAGGUAGAGUUUUGGUUGGUGGGUGUCGCCAAAAUUAGGAACUCGAUGGUGUAUGUAGGCACAUGAUUUAGAUAGGUUCGGGCUACUAGAUCGUGUAAUACCCUACGUCCUGUGUGUUAUUUGCUUGUAUUCAAUUGAACCUAUCUGGAGGGGGUCCCUGCCCGUCCUUAUAUAUCGGAGGAGCAGGGUUACAGGUCGGUUAUUUUACAGAAAUACUAGUCGGAUUCGACCAGAGAAUCCUACUCUAACUGCUAUGAGUAGUUUCCAAGUCCUCGACUAGCUCCUGUCCUCCAUGUAGACUACGCCGUCCUACACCGUAGUCUCCAUGUCUGACACGUCUCGGUGUACAACCUUAUAUGUGGGUCAGUCCAAACCUUCUGGUGGCCCCAUGGAUGUAUAUACGACAAGAAGUUCCCACCAUCGGUGGUCAGAUUUUUAGCCGUUACAAUCGGGACUAAAGAGGGGCGACUAAAGCUCCCCCGUCGGUGGUUCAUUUUUGACCUGGGACUAAACACCCUUUAGUCCUGGGUUCAAAGUCAACCGGGAAAAAAAACGUUGGAUGGAAGGUGAGUUCUCUAGAGGAAUAUAUUGACUUGGCUAGGAUUAGUUGGUUGUUAGUUUGGAUGUUUAGCCCAGCUCGCCUUAUAUCAGUUUCUUUAUUUUUUUUCUUUUGUUCUUUUUUAGGUUUUCAUUUUUCAGGCGUUGUUAGUGUAUAUGAUUGCUUUCGCUUCUGCUGCGCUGGUAUAACAUAUAUGGUUCAUUUCUUGCCUUCCCACUCUUUUAAUGCAAUGACGCGCGAUCUCUUACGGGUUCUCCAAAAUUUGGUAGAGAAGUUACGUAACUCUCACAAGUUCCAGAACGUUUGUGCUACACAUUAACUCUAUUAGCAAAUAUCCAGUGAUAUAUCCAUUGUUUGCAGUAGUCGCACCUCCGGUUUCAGUGACGUGUACUGUCCCUGUCCUCCGGGACCGACCACAGAUCUCCCUUUUGACUACUAACGCCACUUAGCGCGUCGAACAAAACUCUCAACAACCCAAGCCGGACAAACCUUGACAAGUUACGCGCACGCAUGGUCAAAUUUUCAAACACCGUGUCCUAUCUUCCGUUCCCCUGAAUUUCCUCUACAAGCGACGGCGACGCGACCGUUUGAACAGAACCGGAGGAAGAAACUACAUGUGUACAUACACAGACGACUCCAAUAAAUUUCUACUGGGCAAAAGUAAAGAGGCCGGAGACUUUGAAUGAGCUUCGUCUUCAAGUGGACGUCGCCGUGUGCUCAGGCUGCGUGGCGGCAGCGGCGGCGGAGGCCCCCCGGUCCUGCUGGCCGUCGUGGCGGUGGUCGCCCUCGUAGGUGACGAUGAGCAUCGCCGGCUCGCCGGGGUCGCGCUCCACGUGCUUCCGCGCCGGGCACCCGCGCACCGUGCUGCACUUGUAGUACCCGCUGCAUGUCGUACAUGGACGCACACGACAUCAAAUGGUCAGUGCCUCGCAGCGUAAGAACGGGAAGAAAGAAUGGUGAUCGGACGGGUCGCCAGUUGCUUACCGUGGGUACGGCGAGCCCUUGAUGGGCUUCUGGCCGUACUUGCGCCAGGAGUAGUCGUCCGGCGGGAUGUCGGCGUUCCGGGAGCUGAUCGCCGGCACGCGGACCAUCCGCCUCACGCGCGACUUCCUGCCAUCGUUUUUCAAAUCAUCAGAAACAUUCAGUAAUAGGUCGAUGUAUAAGUAAUAAUGUAAGAGUUUUAUGAGUGUAUAUACCGUUUCUUGGAGCAGUGGCAGAGGCCGGCGUGCGCCGCCUUGCCGCCGGCGUCGUUCUCGGAGCGCGCGCGGCCGCCGUGGGACUUGCUUCUCAGCGCGGCGCCGCCGGAGGGGUAAUAAUCGGAGGCGGCAGGCUGCUGCUGCAUCGAUACCGCUUUGCCGGUGGCGCUGCCGCUCAUCAGAGGAGGAAAGCGGCCCUGCACGCGGCCGUUGGACACGCUCCCUUCGCCACCGGCGGUAAGGCUCGUCGGCGUCGUCGUCGAGGGGAGCGACGAGCUGCCCCCCGAGGCCGACGCGCUUGGCGCCGCCUCAUCGCACCCCUUCUUGACGAAGCCCAGCGCCGCGCUCCCCGACGGCUGCUGCUGGUGGUGGUCCGACGACGACGGCGGGUGGCCGUCCGCCACGGCGACGGGGCCGCGGCGGAAGCGCGCGUGGCCCGUGCGGCGGCCGAGCAUGGACACCGCCGCCCGGAUCCUGGACACCGUCAGUUGGUGGUCGCCCACCGCCAUCAUUUGCUGCCACGACGUCGUCGCCACCUGCCCGUCGUCGCUAGGAACCACCGGAGCCCCACCGCCGCCGCUGCUGCAGCUCAUCAGAUCGUCGAUGGUGAUCAUGGCGAGCAAGAUGCGAUUGUUCACGCAAGAUGGGCUGGGAGAAACGCGAACGAAGGGCAGCGAGGAGGUUUAUAUGAUGGGCUAUUCCAUCGGUCAAGGCAGUGGACUGGUUCGAGUCAAGAGACUCGACAGCAGAGCGAGAGCGCGUUCCGCGGCGCGGGGUUGGGCCAUCGGACGGCGCCGGGUUGGGUGCCGGCCGGGCACGGAGACGAGUCGACGGCGGGAUCGGCUGGCCAGUGGUGCGGUGCAGCCGAACCGGAAAAAAAAAUUGUGCAGCCGGGCUACAAAGCUCCGUCCGUGCAGUCGGACGUCUUAUGGUUGCCGCGUGGACACCCCAAGCAUCGGACGCCCUACCGCUCACGGGCUUCGUCCCACAUAGAUCAAUCACGCUCGGCUCACACGAUUCCUAAAAAUCGCAGCUCGGCUCGCAGCUAGCGCUCAACUCGCAUGUGCAAGAUACGGCUUGCAACGCUGAACUCGCAGGGAGAAGAGUAAUUUCCUUUUUGCUUCCCUAUCGAAGCCGCCUGCAUCUCAUACGAACGCGCCGCUGCUUCAUUUCGUAUAGCGAUAACGCUUUCUCUUUCUUAGCGCUCCAGCCUCCAUCGCCCGCUGUCGCCGCCGUGAUCCGUCGCAAUCCGAACGCCCCCCUCUCACCGACAGACACCUCUAACUCCAGUCGUCCUCCGCUGCUAUGGCCUCCAUCAUCCUCCGUCGUUCUCCGCCGCCAACACAGUCACCUCGCCCACCGGCAGCCCUCUCAUCCGACUGCUUGAAGAGGCACCUCGACUCCUUGGUUCGCCAUCUGCCGCCACAAUCGCGCCCAUUGGCUCCCCCCUCACAACCGCAUCAGCAGGCACCUCAACUUACACAUGGGUCAUAGAAGGUUAUAUGCUUCUUAGUGCCCUUUUAAUUUGUUCUAUGUGGUACAUCAGGAUGAGCAAUUGAUGUUGUUCAGUUGAUGCAAACCACACAGGUGGGUGGACCAAUUGUGCCCAUAGAGGUACUUGUUUUUUCCUGUCAGUUAUUUAUGAAUUUUAGUUUCCGCAUAUGUCUCUGUCCAUUGUAGAUGCUAAAAAUAAUAGGUUUUACAGUCGUGACUCGUGGUAUUUCAGUGCCCUGGGGAAUGUUUGAUUCCAUCAGACAAGCUUUGUGUACAAACUUGUGCAUCCAAAUUAAUGACGGUCCUGUUCAUGUUUCCUAGCUUGUUGCUAUCUUAGAAUCUUCAUAUGGCUAUUGUCCGCACCAUGAGCAAUUUUUCAUAUAUAUGAGUCUUUCUUGUUUGUGUUUUAUCUCUCACAGGAAAAUAAAAAUACAAAAUUCAGUACUACAAGAUUCAUACGCGGAUAAAAGUAGUGAUGAAUUAUUUCAAAGGUGAAGAUGGUGUGCAGUGAAGCAAUAUGUUGCAGUUCUGGAAGGACCACGACAAGGGCAUGAUGUUGUUCUAUUCGGAUGUAUAGUGUAGUUAAAAAAAUGUACAAUGUAUGGAUGUGCUAAACAUAAAGAGUUUGUUGAUGCUGUUGUGUUCCGAUGUAGAGGGUAGUUAUCAAAUUCUUCAAUGUAUGGAUGUGUUAAAAAAAUAUAUUGUUAUAAAAUAAAUAUGGAUGUUCUGAAGAAUUGAGUUUGCGUCUCUCAUUUGGAGGAUCUGAAAUACAGUAUAGAUGCAUAUUAUGAAAUUGAGUUUGUAUAUCUCAUUGGGAGGUUUUAAACUAUAAAGGCUGAACGUCGGAACAUAUAAAUAUAAUUGGAAGGUUUUGAAAUAGAAGUCUGGAUGUGCUCUAAAAAUGAGACUGUAAUACAAGCCUGAAUGUCCUCAAUAGUAAUAUGUCUGCAAUCUGACAAAAAUAUAAAUAUGGAAUGAUGCCAUGUUUUCACAUAAAGGUUACAUGUUUUCUAUAUUUGGCACUCCAUCAUCUUUUGGCACUCCAUCAAAAUUUUAUUUCUUAACAGCUAGCUAUAAUGCGGCAGCUCGAUCAACUCCCAGUAAGAGAUUUGUAUAUCCUUCUUGGAUAUCAGGAGCACCGAUGGUAGAAGAACUGCCAUACAUGUUAAAGUGUGGCAUCGUAGCAUUAGCAUAUUCUUCUUGGUUCAAAAGAGUGACCAUGUAUGAAGAUGGCCCGUACACAUCAUUUGCAAAGUUUGGCAUUGUGCUGCUAGCAUCAAUGCUACCAUCAUUAAGAUCAUGUAUCACAGAAUAUGAAACUGUUCACAAAAAGUUGCAUGUAAGCAAAUCAAAUAUGAAAAGUGAAUAUAGUCCAAGUCAUAUGACUUACGAUAAAUUGCUCUAGGUCAGCACAUUCAUAUCCUUAAUAUCUAUUAUUUGCUGCAUUUAUUGAAUCUUGCCCUAUAUUCAAACAUAUGAAGUUAACUAUACACACAUCAAAAAGGGAACAACAUCCUAGAAUGGGUAGGAUCAAUACCUUCCUCUUUACCCCUUUUCUUUUUCUUCCCUUCAUUCUUUUCAAGGGAGAUGGUCCCUCGUUUACUCUUUGGGCCUUUUACCAUCCAAGGAAUUCUAAAUGAUAUUUUACAUCUGAAUGUGUCUGUAGCACAGUGAAUUGAAAUUGGAGGAACCUCAUUGGAUUUUUCUUGCAUCUUUCUUAGAGAAUUAUCUGCUUCCAAAUCCAAAUUAGCUAUUGCAUUCUCCAAAUAAUCAAGAAGUUCUUUUGACCGUGAAUACUUCAAUGCAAUGGAUGUUGCCUUUCGUGAGAUACGUGCAGCUUGGGUUUUCAAACUUUCUUUCUCAGAUCCUUGUUUCUCAAUAUAGAAUCCUCUCUUUGCAUAUUUUGUCCAUCUGUUCAGUAUAUAUUGUGACGGUAACAUGAAAACAUUAUUCACAUUGAACACUUUGAGGGCAUGCUUGCACAAUAUACCUAUAAGAUGUGGACGUUAUAUUUCAGUAAUUUGUAUUAGAAAUUAUACUAUUGCAAUUUAAAACUUUCGCCAAGCACAAUGCAUGGUCAAAUAUGCUUUGUUGAAUACAACUGGUCCAUAAUCAGAAUAUAUAUGUAUUGUAACCAUAUGAAAACUGACCCUUCGCUGGGUAACAAUUUACACGAGUAUAUGAAAAUUGUUCCUUAAAUUAUUCCUCAAAUUCUUUAAACAUCCUCCUUGUAUAUGAAUCGGCCACGGUCUUCAAUAGAGGGAUGCAAGUAACCGGGCUCUUAUUUUCACGAAACUAAUAGAAACCUUCUCACAUUCUACAAGGAGCUUUGAAAGACCAAGUUUUCUACGAAAUCUUUUCUCGAAUAUAUUAUUUAUACCUUCACUCCUUUGAGUGGAGUUCAUAUCAGCUGUAAAUGAGUCACGAUGCAUAGCAGCCCACUUUGCUCUCAAAUCAUAUAGGUUUAACAUCCAUUCAUUAUCCUCAAGUUUGUACUCACGCAACAAUUCAUCCCACUUCUUCUUGAAGUAAAACUCUGAUCUAUCUUCAUAGACACAUCUCUUAAAAUCAAGAAGAAACUUCUCCGGAUACUCUUGAAUUACAUGACUGAGAUGUGCAGCAGCAUUUAAAUAAAUGUGCCAUAAACAAAGACGAUGGCUUGUGUUUGGAAUACAUAAGCUACUGCGCCCGCCAUGGCCACAUCAUGAUCAGUAAAAAUUGUACUAGGAUGCUUGCCUGACAUUGCUGUUAGAAAGGUUUCAAAUAGCCAAACAAAAGAUUUAAUAGUCUCAUUAAACAAUAAUGCAGCCCCAAAAAUGAUUGUCUGCUUGUGAUGGUUGGUUCCCAGUAGUGGAGCAAUGGAGCAAAAGCCAAUUCAAACUUAUUAGUCUGAAAUGUGGUGUCAAUAGACUGACCAUCUGCCCAAAAGAAAUUAGCCAUUCUAUCAUCUUCCUCAUCUAUUUCAAUGGCAUAAAAGAAUGAUGGAUCUUCUAUUUGCUUAUUUUUCAAGUAUUCCAACAAUGCUUAUGCGUCAUUGGAUUCUAAAUACUUCUUGCGCUGUCGACCAAUCUCAUUGUUGCAAUCCAUCUGUGAGAAUGACACUUUGUCAGCUCCUCCAUAAAAUUGUACUAUAAACUCAAACACCUGGGUUGGCUCUAUCCAGUCAUUCCUCAUUUGGACUAUUAGUUUCUUGUCUGUUUCUUGAACACUUCGUUGGGACCUUAGUUUCUGCCUUUUCUUUGGACUAGCAAGGUAAUGAUUGUGAUCAAGCACAACCUUAUACACUAUCCAAUUCCCCUCCUUGCUAACACUAAACUAAACACGAGCAUUGCAACCUGUCCUUGUAAUGUCUUUUGAUGACUUUGUUUGUCGAUGAUCUUGACUACUGCAAACUAUAUGUUUGUGACAGAUACUACCAUCUCCUUAGCGCUUUAUGUCGCUCUUUCUAAUACUGAACCCAAUCUUGCCUGCAUAUGUGUUGUACAUAUCAUAAGCUUUCUGCUUGGAUUCGAAAGACAUUCCAACUUCAGGAACAAUCAAAGUUUGUCCAACUUUAUUAGCCACAUGUUGUAUAAUGAGCAUUGGAAAAAUAUAAAAUAUUAUGAUCUCACUUGAAUUGUUAUUCGAGUUGCUUCAAUUACUUCAUCUGAUAUUUCAUUCGCCAUUGCUUCUAUAGUGAUCGACUCGAUAUUCUGUGCAAUCUGGCAUGUGCUUGCCGAUCAGUACUAGGCGUAGGGCGUGUACCAUCAAAACAUAGAAGAAAUAGACGUAUGUCCCUGUGUUGUUGGCUUCCCGUAGACUUCAGGAUCCCUGAUGAUCACACCAUCAUUAUGCACAGCAGGUGCCAACAACUAUCCUCCCAUGUCGGAUGCUAGAGUAGAGGACGACAUCGGAUGAGAUGAGGGCACUGUAAUCCCGAUAGCCAUCUCAUCCUCAUGGACUCCUACCAUGGUGCCUAUGUUGUAUAGGACGAUGGGAGAGGAGUUGCAUUGCCGGCAGCUACUCGCCCUAACUGACGUAUGCGUGAAGCAAUCGUGAGAGUAUGAUGUACGAUAGGCUGCCAGAUCACGUAACAAACGCGGGAAUCCAAUCUCCUGUGAGCUAAGGGUCGGAGCCUCAGAGGCUGGAGCUGAGCCUAAGUGUGAUUGAUCUCUGCGGGAGGAAGCUUAGCAGGGCUUCCAAUACUUGGAGUGUCCACACAGCAACCAUCGGGUGUCCAUCCGGACGGAGCUUUGCAGCCCGAGUGCACGAAAUUUUUUUCCGCCGAACCGGGGAGGAUUUUUGCGGUCGCGGAGCGUGCAAGCGAGGUUUGACCGCCGAAAGUGGCGUGGCGCGGAUGGCGAUUCCCAUCUAGCGGGGCUGCGACGCGUGGAUGGUGUGCGGCGUGCGCGUGUGCGGCGUGCGCGUGUGCUCCACUUGAACCUUUUUCGCAGGUUCCGUCGCGUCUACCUGUGAGUUUCGGGCACGUUGCCGAGGGUGGGCCCGCGUGCAGUGACCAAGUGUCUUCGGCCGGAUAGCUACUGCGCACCAAUUACCAAACCAGUGGGAUCAACAUGGAAAUUUGGAGCCUCUCCGCUUAACAACCAAGGGCGUUGUAGCUACACGCGAGGGCAUCUCCGCUGCGAGAAACCACUGCGAUUAUCGAAGCCGAAGAUAAUGUUGGACAGGUACAUCGUGCAAGUUUAAAUAAAACUUCUAAUUUGUCUUCAGUGUAUUUAACCCUCCUUAGAAAGUAAGUCUUACAGAAUAAAAAAAUCUCAAAUAACUUUCAUCUCUUCACUUAGCCCUUAAAGCAACUUCAAAAGUUCCUUAAAACUGCCCCAAAAUCUUAUUCAGGGGAAAAAUUAAAAAAAACUUACCUCUAUCAGCUCCCCCAUCCUUCCCGUAAAAAUACGCGGAUGCCAAAAAUACCUCCGUCGCCCCGCAUAUAUGCGCGAGUCCGAUCCUUUUCCAAUCGCCCCGAACCGCUUGUCCUCGGAAUUUCCGGUUCACGGCCGCGUAUAGCUGCAGGCACGACCAUGCAGCUGCCGCGGCACUGGUGUCGGCGCCGGCAGGAGCAGCAGCGGAGCCCGCAGGCGACGGCGAUUGGGAGGAGAGGAGGGCGGCCUCGAUGCUGUCCCUAGCUGCCAUGGUGUUGUCGACCGCGAGGUCGCAGCACUGAGGGCAGCCGGCGAAGCACUGGGUGACGAGGUGCCAGCCCCAGCACGUGAGGUGGCGGCUAUGCGCAACUGGCUGCGGCCACCAACCACCGGCGGUGCCGCGCUGGGACGAGUGGCUAAACGGCCUUGCCAAGGCCGGAGUCGACCUCAGGUGCAUGAGUGGCAUCACGGCAGACGCCGGCGAGCUUAGCUCCAGCAUGUGUGUGGUGCCGCUAUGGUCUCCAGCCUUCGCGACCUGCCCAUAGCCAUACCGGCAUGCCGCCGCCAAGAGAGAGGGAGAGCACGUCAACUCGCGUGGGGGUGCCGGUGUUGAAGCACGCGCGUGGUGCCAUGGUCAUGACAUGGCUGUCUCGAUGACUAUGCGGCCAUGCCGGAGGCGAGCUCGCCCACGGCCGUUGGGUGGUGGCGAGGCCAUCCUGCCUCCUACGGCGUGCGACGCCGUGUUCGUGGCUAUCCGCCACGGCCGCGGCGAGGAGCUAGGCUGGAGCGUGUGGCGCUCGAGCAUAGCAGCGGCGACGAGCACCUCCGUGCGAGAGGACGACAGGGUAUGGAUGUUUUGGAGAGAGAUGGAGGAUGGAGGUGAUGCAUUUAGUGCUGAUGUUGCUAGUUUUGAAGUAUUGGGAAGUUUAUUGUUGGGAUCUGCUAUGGGAUGACAUGAUUUUAGGAGAAUCAAUUUUUAAUAAAGCCCCCAAUAGAUAAUUUUGGGGGAGAUUUUUUUGACUCUUGGAGUUGCUCUAACCCUUACCAAGCUCUAGACCAGCUCUGGUUACCAAAAGCUCUCGCCACCCAAUAGUUCUAAAUAAAUAUAUUAUAUUUUAUAGCACCCAGUGCAAACACAGCACCCUAAGCUAAGGGGUUGACUCCGAGCACCCUAUGGUCCAACAUAAAGUACUAUAAGAAUCUUUACUUCCAUUCUUAAGCACCCCUGAAAACCCAACGCUAGAACUGUUCUAAGAGAUUGAGCCUUACAGAAGUACAGAUGGCAAAUAGAUGCGGUCUAAGUAGCACUGAAAGAUUGAGCAACAUAUAGCCACAAAUAACAGACGGCAUCUUUACAAUUGAUAAAUAUACUGAGUCUUUCUCUCAUAAAUUAUAUGUUAGCACUAUCUUCCGGUUCAUGAUGACCCAGAAGUAUCAUAAACGCGUUUUUUCAUCAUAAAACUAUGAUUUAUGAAGCGGGAGUGAUGAAAACCCUUCGUCAUUGACGUUCCUUAUUUCGAUGCGUCACUAAGAUAAUGACGAAUAAAAAUGCGUCCCACAAGUCGUCAUAAACUAGCUCCUGCGUAGCAUGCCACGUUGGACCACAGGCUAAUGUGGAAUGGCGGUUGUGACGAAUUGUUUCGUCAUAGAUUGAAUUAGGCCUAGUUCUUGUCGGACCAAGCCUAAUAAUUGUUAUCGUCAUAUAUUGAUUUAGGCCCAAUUCUUCUUAGACCGAGCCCAAUAAUUGCUGACGUCAUAAAUUGGUUUAUGCCUGAAUCUUGUUGGAUCAAGUGCAACAUAUGCUCACAUCAUAACUUCGUUUAGACCCAAUUCUUAAUGGAUUUAGCCGAACAUUUAUUGGCGUCAUAACACCCAUGUAAUAAUGGGCCGAGGGGGCGUGCUUACGAAAUUUUGGGCCCAGUUAUUUUGGGGUGGCCUCGGGUGUAGGUCAGGUAGCGCUUAAUUAAAAUAUAAUCUAAUUUAAUAUUAUAUACAAAUUAAUUCUGUAAUUGACAACACAAUUAAUCUGUACAUACCACCCAUACAAAUAAAUAUUUCUCGUCACACUUCACACAUUAUUAUUCAUGACCAAAGAACAAGCACAAACAUAUUGUCCAUAAGAGAUCACAAACCACUACACAUGAUAUCUCUCUGACCAAGAACAAAGCUAGCCUAGAAACACAUUGAGAACAAACCACAAUGCUCACAAACUAGCACAAGCAGCUAGGAGGACAUGAGCAAAUACCUAAGAAACACAUUGACCUUACCCUCUGAAGUUUAGCUGUUGACGAAUAAGGUACUCAGUUUCUCUUACUGCUUUCUUCAAACUCUCAAUCUCCUCAGACUGCAUUUUCAUUGCCGCAUCUGAAGCUUGUGCCUUUAUCUUCAAGUCGCUCAACAGCAGAACCACCCAAAUUAAUCCAGCUUAAGUGUGUAAACAUCACCUUAAAUGCGAUCAGACACUUUAAUCGGAUCAAGAUGGCAGUCUGUCAGGUUUCACCCAAUACAACCACGUAUUUGAGAUUGAAACAAUCAUACAAAUACUCAUACAAGAUGAGCCCAGAGAUUACAAUAAUCCAGAUGAAAACAUCACAGAGGUCCAUAAUUAUUUAUUACAAACCGAGUUCAAUUCAUAAAGUGGUUCAGAGUUCAAGUGCAGCGGAAAGAAACGAUAAUCUUAUGAUGAUACAUGACGUCAUGGUGAAGCCGUCCAUGAAAUCACUCAACACAGUCCUCACCCGCCAAGGAUGUGUCCCACUCAAACGUCCAUCCUGGAGGGAGCUGGUACAGCCAAGUUAAACUAGCAACCAUUUCAUCAAUUUCAUUACCUGAAAACAAAGCCACAAGAAAGGCUGAGUAUACUAAUACUCCGCAAGGCUUACCCGACAGGUGGUAUCUAAUCCAUCGACUCCUAGACAUGCAAGGCUUUUUGGCUGAGGGGUUGUUUUUGCCAAAAGCUUCUAAAGUGGGUUCUUGCUUUCAAGUCUUAGCAUCAAAUUUCUAGUUGAUUAACCAUUCUAGAUAAGCAUUAUUCUAUGCAAGCAUAGUAGAACAAGCAAUUUAAUCAAGCCUCAAUUUUAAGUAUCAUCAUUGUUCAUCUUCUUACUCAAUGCAGUAUAGUGGUCAAGCAGUCUCAAUAACUGCGAGAAAUAGACGAUUCGAAUUGAAUUUCUUAACCUUGCAAGGUGGAUCUAAACACACAACAUGUGCGUACCACGACGGGUCCACACAUUAUCAACAGUUCCCAUCGAUCCCCGGUGUGUGUUCAGGGCCCACUUCCCUUGGAUACAACGCCCCACCGGUCCCCAGACAACGUCGUGCCGUGGCUGCACUUGCAUCCACAUGAUGCUUCAAGGCAACCGUUUCCAGAGAGAGCAGGGAAAAAGUCCACGCCCUGGUUCAAUCAGGUACUAGGCUUACCAAUUACCAUAUUCUCAGCAAGUGUUUAGUACGUUCAAAACUUGACCAUGAACACUGACACGUUUCGACCUUAGCAAUUUCUUCUAUACAGGCGGGGCAUCAACAAAUUCAGGAACAUCGCACAAAGCCCUGGCCGUCGAGUAAAUAGGCAACUCCUAUAGUUCGCGAGUGAUAGGAAAUCACUCGACUUUUACUGUGUCCCUAUUCAGCGUAGCAACUAAGCGACCUAACAUGCUAGUAUUCAAAACAUGGGUACUAGGACCAUGCAACUAGGGUUUCAAUACAACUCCUAUGGACUUAAUGCACACACAUAAGUAACAAGAAUAUUGUAUAAAUUUGGAAACCAGGGUUAUGCUCCGGGGCUUGCCUUCCUGCCCUGAAGUAGCCUUGGGCUCUUCCGUACUUUGGUUUGGACCUUGGUUUGCCUCGAUCACGUUCAGCUCACCUUCCUGUUGUCCUUCUUUGCGUUCCAGGAUGAGCUCGUAUGUUCCGUCGGUGAGGUUAGCUUCUAUACGAGAUGCAUAUGCAUAAGAUUUCUUUUAUAAUCUUUCAUGACGUAGGUUUUUAUUUCGUUAACCAUAAAAGCAUGGGGUGUAUUUUCUUUUGGCCACAUUCACCUAGACAAGUUUAUAAAUAUUUCUUUUCUUAUGACCACAUUCACCUAGACAAGUUUAUAAGCAUUUCUUUUCUUCACAAAACAAGCUUGGUUGGAAAGAAAACAUAGAUUUUAUUUUGAUAGUGAUUGUGUACACAUAUAAAAUUAUUAGAAAUUUAGUAUUCAAAAGACAAUAGGUGGUGCUAUUUUGGUACUGUUUAGCAAACUAUUUAGGGACGACCAUGCUACUGAUGAAGAGCAUAAUUAUUUGUGAGCCUACAAAUCCUAGUAACAAUUAUAUUUACUAAAUAAACUAGCUUUUAACAUGAAUAAAUGUUAAGGAAGCAUCUGCUAGUAUUUGAACAUGAAUGAUGUACAGGAGAUUUCCCCCUACACAAGAAAUCUACUGUAAAAAUUUGAGAUGGAUUUGACAACUACAGAAUUUACUAAAAAUCAAAUAUGGUUACACUACAGAUAUGAAGAAUGACUUAUAACUAGAGUUCUUUCAUCAGUCUAGUACUACAAAUUUUUCAGAAUAGUUUCCAGCACUUCAAUAUACCAUUGUGAAUUUUUCAGGAUUUUCUGAGCAUGAGGACUAUUUAUUCCACAAUAAGGAGAUUAAAAAACAUGCAUUUUGUUAAGCAAAAAAAACACAUACUUUAUAAGAACAAGUAUUUUUACUAGUGAGAUAAGAGCAUCAGAAAACUAACAAAAUUUAUUUCGCAUUUUUAUGAUUUUUCUAUGAUUUUAUACAAAUUUCCAAAUUUUCAGCCAUUUUAACUAAAAUUAAACCCGAAAAGGAAAAACACAUUUUGCAAGAAAACCCUCCGAAACAACUUCUGUAUGAACUAGCCCCUGCAUUUUUCACUAAGGACCUUGAAACCAAAACCUAAAUCACAAUUGGGUCCUUGGCUGGCCGGCAGCUCGGGGAGCUCGAUUCCGGCGAUGUGGGGCCGCGGGGUCGUAGGCAAUAGGCAUGAGGGCGACUAGGGAUUCACUGGUGACCAGUUUGGUGUAGGGCUCAGGGUCGGAGGAUGGCCGGUAAUAGCUCGCGGCAGAGCAGUGGUGGCGUGGCAGCUUCGGCUUCGGCUCCAGCGACUGUAGCGGCGGUGGUGGAGGUUUGUGGGGCUGGGGAGGUCGAGUGUGUUGGGAUACGAGGGAGGCUACACUAGCUCAAAUCAAAAUUUCUACCGCGUAAACCAGGAAAACUGCCGUAUAAGGAUUACGGGAUUACCACUCGACGCACUACUGGUACGGAAGAUGUAGAUUCGCGUCGAUGCAGCGAAGUCGAUCAACGUAGUCGUACGUAGUCGAUCACGUCAACAUCCAGCAGCUCCUCAGCAGCUCGUCCACGUGCAGCAAGAUUGCCCUCGUGCCGCGGCUCAUCGCCGGCUCGUCGUGGCUCGUCGGCGGCUCAUCCAAGUGCUGCAGGCGCAACACCUCCAAGGUAUCCACACGUGCAGGGACGAAGCGUCGCAAGCUGGACUACUAGAUCCAUGAGUUGCAACACGCGAGGGCGUGGGAGGCGCGGCAGAUGUGUUUCGCCAAAAGGGUGUCAACCCUAGGGUGCCCCCACCCCUCUAUUUAUAGAGGUUCCUAACGGGCCUCUAGGUCCGAGGCCCAUUAGUACUUCUAAACCUAAUCCAACUCGGAUCACAUCCGAAUUGGGCCUCCAGCCCCUUAAGUGUGUGACCCUAUGGGUUCGGAUACGUAUAGACAUGGCCCGAGUACUCCUACUCAGCCCAAUAGUUGGUAGCAGCCUCUAGCAAGACGUGCCAACUCCUAUAUGCACACGAAGAUCAUAUCAGACGAACCAUCACAACAUUAUAUACAUGAUAUUCCCUUUGCCUCACGAUAUUUGGUCUAGCUUCAAGCCAACCGCUCUUUCUCGAUUCUGUGAUUCGGAAUCCCUUUGUAGCUUAACUCUUAACCGUACAUAGCAUGGUCAUGCAUUUUCGGAUCCGAUCACUCGAGGGGCCCAGAGAUAUCACUCUCAAUCAGAGAGGGGCAAAUCCCAUCUUGAUUGAUCAUGUCUCACAAUGCUUCUUGACAAACCCGAAAGCUACCCUUAUAACUACCCUAUUACAGCGUAGCGUUUGAUAGCCACUAAGUAGGUCGAUCCACAUCUUGAAUACAUGCGACAAUAUCAGGUCUAAGGACAAAGCGUAUAUGUUGUUUAAAGAGAGAACUACUUCUCAUGUUGGGUCAGUUCCAGCACAUGUCUCCACAUGUGCCCACAUUAUUAGUUCAACAUCUCCAUGUCCAUGACUUGUGAAACAUAGUCAUCAACUAAUACAUGUGCUAGUCUAAUAUUCAGGUGUGUCCUCACAUGAACUCCGACUAGGGACAACUUUAGAAUAACCAUACAAGUAAAGAGUUUCACAUACAAUUCACAUAAUUGCAAAUCAAUUCAAGUAGCCUUUAAUGGAUAUUCAAGGAACACAAUAUAAAUCAUGGAUACAAAUGGAAUAUCAUCAUCUCUAUGAUUGCCUCUAGGGCAUACCUCCAACACAAACAGAUGGAAAAAUGGAAAGGGUAAAUCAAAUCCUUGAGGACAUGCUUCGAGCUUGCAUCAUUCAUUAUGAUAAAAACUGGAUAAAUGCUUGCCUCUAGUAGAAUUUUCUUAUAACAACAGCUACCAAGCUAGUUUGAGGAUGGCACCAUUUGAGCCCUUGUAUGGUCAUAGGUGUCGAACUUCGUUGAGUUGGUCCCAAGCCAGAGAGCAGAAAAUAUUUGGAUUAGAUUUGGUAAUUGAGGCAGAAGAAAAAGUUAGGGUAAUACAUAAACACCUUAAAGCCGCCCAAUCUAGACAAAAGAGCUAUUUUGACAAGAGGAGAAAACCCUUGCAAUUCGAAGUUGGUGACCAUGUAUACGUCCAGGUUUCACCAACCAAAUAUGUGCAAAGGUUUGGAGUCAAGGGAAAACUAGCCCCUCAAUAUAUUGGUCCCUAUGAAAUCACUGAAAUUUGUGGACCGAUGGCCUAUCGAGUGAAACUUCCACCAAGACUCUUAGCUAUCCACGAUAUCUUCCAUGUCUCUCAACUUAAGAAAUGUGUUCGAGUUCCAACCGAGGUUGUCGAAUAAGAGGAAAUAUGGGUAGAACCGGAUCUUUCUUAUGUUGAGUUUCCCAUCAAGAUUCUUGAUCGCAAGGAAAGAAGGACUAGGCGACAAGUGGUAAAAAUGUUUAAAAAACAAUGGAGCCAUCAUACCGAAGAUGAGGCAACAUGGGAAAUCGAAGAAUUUCUCAACAAAAAUUUCCGUGGUUUCCUACUCAAAAUACACGCACAUCCACACUAGUUUUUAUCACCCGAAUCUCAGGACGAGAUUCUUUUUAAGGGGGGUAGGUUGUGACAUCUCAAGUAAUUAAGAGCCAAUUUAAGAGAAAUUGAGAAUAAAUCAAAGAAGAAUCAAAAUUGUUAAGUGUUAAACACCUUUGUAAUGAUGUACUUGGGAAGAAAAAAAAACAAAUUUUAUAUAAGAACUUAAUUUUUGGCUAAUAUAAAAGUGGUAGAUCUCUUCAAAUGGAGCAAAUUUCAUUAUUGACACUUUUCUUGAUUUUGAGUGGAAGAUGUUCAAAAAUUGAGUUGAAGUUCAGCCGAAAAUACAAUCAUUUUCAAAACCAGUUUUAGCCGGCGUUCUACCAAACUUCUCCCAAAUUUAUCUCCAAAUCCAUCGAGUUUUUCAACUGUCAGCCUUUACAAAAGUUGUACCUAUACUUUGAGCUCCAACUUUUAUAUUGAAAGAUUCAAACGUGUAGUUCAAAAAUUGAGAAAAAAUUCGCAGUGAAGCAGGCCCCUUCGCACGCCAUACGGGCAUGCGACACACCCUGGGCACAGUCACCACGCUCGUGACGUGCUCGCCGUCACUACGUGGCGCCAGAUUUCUACCGCCGUGCUGUGCCAAGCCAAUUGCUGGUGGCGAGGCGACAACACAGGCGCGCAGCAGCUCGUCCAGCCCCCACGCACGCUAUCUCCCUCCCCCGCAUAGCGAAUCCCCGGUGGCCAACCACGCCCACAACACGUCGCAGCGCCGGUGCACGCCACGGCUGCUUGGCCACUCCCACGCGCUCGGCCACCGCCCCGCAGCGCCAAUGUGCUGAGAGGUUUGCCUGGAUGCCUCGCCCCUCCCUAUCCCCUUUGCCGCCUAUAAAAAGGCCCCCUACAUAUUCCUCGCAGGCCACCCGCACACCCGCCGCUCCGCCAUUGCCACCGCCCGAUGAGCACCUACUUCCAGCCAUCCCCGUCGCCACCCAAGCACACAAGUGCCUUCCCCUACCACCACUCUGUUGGAGGUAUGCCCUAGAGGCAAUCAUAGAGAUGAUGAUAUUCUAUUUGUAUCCAUGAUUUAUAUUGUGUUCCUUGAAUAUCCAUUAAAGGCUACUUGAAUUGAUUUGCAAUUAUGUGAAUUGUGUGUGAAACUCUUUUACUUGUAUGGUUAUUCUAAAGUUGUCCCUAGUCGGAGUUCAUGUGAGGACACACAUGAAUAUUAGACUAGCACAUGUAUUAGUUGAUGACUAUGUUUCACAAGUCAUGGACAUGGAGAUGUUGAACUAAUAAUGUGGGCACAUGUGGAGACAUGUGCUAGGACUGACCCAACACGAGAAGUAGUUCUCUCUUUAAACAACAUAUACGCUUUGUCCUUAGACCUGAGAUUGUCGCAUGUAUUCAAGAUGUGGAUCGACCUACUUAGGGGAUAUCAAACGCUACGCCGUAACAGGGUAGUUAUAAAGGUAGCUUUCGGGUUUGUCAAGAAGCAUGCUGUGAGACAUGGUUAAUCAAGAUGGGAUUUGCCCCUCUCUGAUUGAGAGUGAUAUCUCUGGGCCCCUCGAGUGAUCGUAUCCGAAAAUGCAUGGUCAUGCUACGUAUGGUUAAGAGUUGAUCUACAAAGGAAUUCCGAAUCACAGGAUCGAGAAAGAGCGGUCAACGUGAAGCUAGACCAAAUAUCGUGAGGCAAAUGGAAUAGCAUGUAUAUAAUGUUGUGAUGGUUCGUCUGAUAUGAUCUUCGUAUGCAUAUAGGAGUUGGCACAUCUUGCUAGAGGCCGCUACCGACUAUUGGGCCGAGUAGGAGUACUCGGGCCAUGUCUAUAUGUAUCCGAACCCAUAGGGUCACACACUUAAGGGGCUGGAAGCCCAAUUCGGAUGUGAUCCGAGUUGGAUUAGGUUUAGAAGUACUAAUGGGCCUCGGACCCAGAGGCCUGUUGGGAACCUCUAUAAAUAGAGGGGUGGGGGCGCCCUAGGGUAUAUACCUUUUUGGCGAAACACAUCUGCCGCGCCUCCCACGCCCUCACCUGUUGCAACUCACGGAUCUAGCAGUCCAGCUUGUGACGCUACCUCCCUGCACGUGUGGAUACCUUGGAGGUGUUGCGCCUGCAGCACUUGGACGAGCCGCCGACGAGCCACGAUGAGAUGACGACGAGCCACGGCACGAGGGCGAUCUUGCUGCACGUGGACGAGCUACUGAGGAGCUACUGGAUGUCGACGUGAUCUACUACGUACGACUACGCUGAUCGACUUCGCUGCAUCGACGCGAAUCUACAUCUUCCACACCAGUAGUGCGUCGAGUUGUAAUCCCGUGAUCCUUAUACGGCAGUUUUUCCUGGUUUAUGCGGUAGAAAAUUUUGAUUUGCGCUAGUGUAGCCUACCUCAUAUUCCUACAGUUUGAGGGUGAUAAGUCGAGCUACGGAUUAGUUUAGUGCAAAGAGAAGCUUGCAACUAUUCCUAGAAGCGUGCCACAAACUGAGUACCUCGAUCUGAGAUGAUCAUUUUGGGUACUCCAUGUAGGCAAACAAUGUGAUCAAGAGAUAUCUCGGCAUACCUCUUGGUUGAGUAGGUUGUAUGAACCGGAAUAAAAUGUGCCAUUUUAGUAAGUCUAUCAACUAUAACCUAUAUCUAAUCAUGCUUCUGAGAGGUGUUGGGCAAACCAACAAUGAAGUCCAUACUUAUAUCCUCCCAUUUCCAUGACGGUAUAGGCAAUGUUUGAAGAGUACCAGCUACUCUUAAGUGGCUUGCCUUUAGUCUUUGACAAGUGUCGUAUUCCGACACAUAUUUAGCAAUCUCUCUUUUCAUCCCAGUCCACCAAAAAUUUUGUUUGAGGUCUUGGUACAUUUUGGUGCUACCCGGAUGAAUAGAGAACUUGGAGAGAUGUGUCUCAUCCAGGAUUUGUUUUCAGAGAUCAUGAUUCUCUGGAACAACCAUGCGGUCCUGAAACCAUACAACUCCCUUCCAAUCUUGGCGGAAAAAUUUAUAUUUCUCUUCCCCUUGAGAGAGCUUUUGCAAUAUAAUUUUUAUACCUUCAUCAUCUAACUAUGCCAUAACAAUUUGAUCGUGUAAGGUAGGUUCAAUAGAAAUGUGAUUCAUUGUGCCUUGAGGAAUAAUUUCCAAAUUAAGCUUCCUCAUUUCAUGACACAAAGUUUCUAUAAAGGAUUCUGCGGAAAGGCAAUUGCAAUGAGCCUUGUGGUUUAAUGCGUUCACAACCACAUUGGCCUUCCCGGGGUGAUAGUGCACCUCGAGAUCAUAAUCCUUAAUUAACUCCAACCACCUCCUUUGACGCAUAUUCAGAUCAGCUUGGGUAAAGAUAUACUUGAGUCUUUUGUGGUCUGUGUAGAUAUUGCAAUGAGCACCCAUCAGAUAAUGUCUCCAAAUCUUUAGAGCAUGAAUGACUGCUGCUAGAUCAAGGUCAUGUGUUUGGUAAUUCUGCUCGUGAGGACGAAGUGCACGUGAAGCAUAAGCAAUGACUCGGUUAUCUUGUAUAAGAAUAUAGCUGAGACCAAUGCCAGAGGCGUCACAGUAAACAUCAAAGGGCUUGGUGUUAUCGGGUUGAGCUAAGACUGGUGCUAAAGUCAGUUGUUUUCACAGAGUGUGGAAAGCUUCUUCACACUUUUCGCUCCAUGCAAACUUGACUUCUUUCUUUAACAACUCCGACAUUGGCUUAGCAAUUUUUGAGAAGUCCGAAAUGAAACGACGAUAAUAGCCUGCUAGAUCAAGGAAACUUCUAAUUUGAUGAACGGAAGUGGGUGGCUCCCAAUCCAUCACUUCUUGUACCUUGCUUGGAUCAACGGCUAUGCCUUCACUAGAGACGGUGUGUACCAAGAAUUUCACACUAUCCAACCAAUAUUCACAUUUGGAGAAUCUGGCAUAAAGCUAAUGAUCUCUAAGGCGUUGGAGAACAAUACGAAGAUGUUGGGCAUGUUCUUCUUCAUUUUUGCAGUAUAUGAGGAUGUCCUCAAUGAAGACCACAAUGAACUUGUCAAGCUCGGGCAUAAACACCAAAUUCAUGAGAUACAUGAAGUAGACAGAAACAUUCGUGCGACUAGGUACUCAUAUAAUCCAUAUCGAGUGGAGAAGGCGGUCUUAGGGAUGUCACUCGGCCGGAUCUUAAUUUGAUGAUAUCCAGAGCGGAGAUCAAUUUUGGAGAACACUCUACCUCCAGCUAGUUGAUCAAAGAGGACAUCAAUACGGGGUAGAGAAUAUUUGUUCUUGAUAGUCACUGCAUUGAGAUGUCGGUAAUCUACACACAUCCUCAAACUAUCAUCCUUUUUCUUUACAAAGAGAUCUAGGCAGCCCCAAGGCGAUGUGCUUGGGUGAAUAAAACCCUUUUCUAGUAGCUCUUGAAGUUGGGUUUUUAAUUUUGCCAACUCCACAGGCAGCAUUCAAUGAAAAACUCAAUGUCCCUAUCCGGCGGCAUUCCUGGCAAGUCAUCCGGAAAAACAUCGGCAUACUCGCAUACCACAGGAAUUUCUUCUAGUCGGGACCCUAUUGUUAGAAAAGCGCACAAAUUUAUGCACUCUCGAGAUGGCAAGCAAAGUGUGGAGGAUCCAUGUGUGGGUGAAUUUAUAUCGACGGCCCGUGCUGCAAUGUCUAAUGUGUUUUUGUGCUCAGUCAUCCAAUUUGUCCCCAAAAUAUGUAAAUGCCUUCAAGUCCCAAAAUAAUAAGGUCGGUUUUAAAAAUUUUACUACCCAACUUGAGUGGCACACGACGUGCUAUUUGGUUGGAAGCAAUUUUACCACUGGGUGUUGAAAUCAUAUAAGACCCUUUUGUGUGACACAAAUCCAAUCCACAUUUACCACUGAAUUUUGAUCCAAUAAAACUAUGUGAUGCACCAAAAUCAAAUAAUAUAAUUGUAGGCCGGAUAUGGAUAGAGAAAGUACCCAUCAUCACCUGUACACCCACGGGAAGAUCGGCGAGAAUGGUGAAAUUGAUCCUUCCUUGUUUGACCUGGACUGUCUGCUUCUUGCCCUUGUUCUGACUGGAGCCUUGCCCCUGAUUCUGGGGUCUAUUCUGGGGGCAUUCUCUGGCAAAGUGAUUAGGACUCCCACAAAUGAAGCAACGAUUCCCAUUGCCAGGACGAGCUGGCUACUGAGCAUUGGACCUUGGGCCUUGCUGCUGGAAACUAGGGAAACGUGAAGUUCCCUGCUGCUGUGGUGGCCUGAUCACCCAACGUCCAGGCUGUGGGGCUCUCUAGGGAACCCUGGGUGGAGUGUUCUGGACUAUCCAAAACUUCUGAUUUGGGGCACUAACUGGUGCAAUUGGGGCCUUCCUCUUUUUGUCUGCAUGAUGAGCCAUAAUACAAUCCUCUUGUGAGAUUGCUAAGUUCACUAACUCAUUAUAGCUGUUUGUUUUGAUGGGAUUCAGUUGGUCCUUGAGCUUGGUGUUGAGACCUCGACGAAAACGGUCCCUCUUUUUCUCAUCCGUGCCAGCAUGAUAGCCUGCAUACUGACAUAAGUCAUUGAAAGCAAGAGCAUAUUGGAGUAUAGUGCACGUGCCCUGAGUUAGUGCCAGAAACUCAUUGAACUUCCUGUCCAACAGUCCUUCUGGAAUAUGAUGGGCUCUGAAAGCAGUUUUGAAUUCCUCCCAGGAAACAACAUGAUCUACUGAGAGUAUGGCAAGGUAGUGAUCCCAUCAUAAAUGUGUCGAGCCUCAAAGUUGCUAUGCAGCAAACUUCACCUUGUUCUCAACAGGACAAACUGUCGCGAGUAGAGAGAACUUGGAUCCAAUGGUGCGAACCCAAGCAUCCGCGUCCAAAGGCUCGUCUGUUUUUAAAAACAAAGGGGGCUAAGUGCCUAGGAAAUCUUGGUAGCUAGCAACCUAGGGUAUAUGGACAUUUUGCCCACCCUGGUGCUGUUUUUGUUGCUGCUAUCCUUGGACAAGUUGUCGUAGCAACUCGGUUUGGGCAGCCAAAAUUGCCUCCAUGGAAGGCGGGGGUGGUGGUGGCGGUUGCCGUUGCUCGCUGCCACUACCUCCAAAACCACCGGGGUUUUGAUGUGUCCCAUUCACCAUCUGCAGGGGUGAACCUUUCUAUUAGUCACAUAAUUUUCAAACUUACUCACAAAAAGAUGAAACAAGGUAGAAUAUAUGUGGAAUAUUAAAGUUCAAGAUGCAGUUAAAUAAUGUGGGCAGAAAACUAUAACUAGAAUAAAAUUCAUAUCUCCUGACUCAAGCACCCAUAAGUUCUCAUAUUUGGUCAGUGAGUAGGAAAUUUAGUAUUCUAUAACUUUGGUAUUCAACUCAGAGACCAAUUCAAGGGUUAUAUAGGCCAAACAAUUCCAUCUUUGCCUCUCUGUUCUGGCUGUUUUUUAGCAGGCCGAGCUGCAAUGUUUGACUCAUGACUCGAGUUAAGGAAGUCCAAUGAUACUGAAAUUUUGUGAUAAUUUAGGCUAUCAAAUUCCCAACAACUUUGGUAUUCAUCAAACAGCCCAGAGAUGAAAGGAAACUAGGUUAAAAAUCUAAACAUGUUUCUUCUGCAGAAAGUCGGCAGUCACACGUCGAUUACAUCAAGUGCCAAGUUUUUGGGACCUACCUUCAUCAUCAAGGUGUCACAAUUGUAGCAUCUGCUGCACAAAAUAAUACUCAACUCUAAGCUAGCCUACUACAUCCAAGGUUCAAAAGUUAGGCUACGCUGAGGAGUAUACACAAAAGCUAUCUUAAACAUCUAGAAGUCAUCCAAGUUGUUGACGAAAGACACACUACGCAUCGGGGAGUGAGCUCCCCCAGGUGGUGGCUGUGGUGCUCUGCUCUCCGUGUCCAUACUGGAGAUACCCUCUAUCUCCUCUGGGUCCUCCUCAUCCUCCUCCAUGUCAGCCGGAAGAUCCUGCAGAGCUACCUCCUGCUCAUGGUGCAUCUCGAUGUGCACGUUUGCGUCCUCUAACUCCAUGUUCAGGACGUGAAUCUGAUCUUCCAAGUGGUCAAUAGUAGCCACUCUGUCACUUAGCUCCAUCUUGAGCUCUUCCACCUGAAGCUCCAACUGGUCAAUCCUCGUGUCCUUGUCAACCAGCUCAAUUGAGAGGUCAAUAAUCUGGCUGCUCCUAUCAUUCACUAUCAUUUGAUUUGCCUGUGCCAAAUCGGACAACUGAGCCACCGUCUUGCUCUGGACAGCCUGAAGAUGGUACAGUGCAUUCAUGCACCAUGCGGCAGUGAGGAUCAUCUCCUGAGGACAAAUGCACCCUAGAACAUCCAUGUGGUCUACUCUGUCAAGCCACAUGAGGUCGCCCUCCUAUGCUACCUAGAAUAGACCCACGGGGGUGACAGCAAUCUCCUCCGGGUGCUGACUACAGAAGGUAGUGAGCGCCUGCUCCUCCCACAUGUCGUCGAGGCGGUACUCCAAAGUCUCAACCUCCAAAGUAGGCCACUCGGGGGUGUACCGGGUGGGGGAGAAGUGUGAGGUGCACGCGGCAACGAGGCACUUCGUGCUCCUCGAACUCCUGUCCCAUGUAGCGGGGAGGGGUAGUAUAGCCCACCGAGCUUAGAACGCCCCACAAAAUAGAAAGAAAGCCCUCCUAGUGUAGGCACUCGGCGUGAACAUGCCCGUCCAUGUCAACCACAAUGUAAAUGGGGUCAGCCAUCUGGAAGAAAACAAAAACAAGGGAGUGUGUGAGCUAGAAAAACCACUUAUCCAAGAAUGAUAACAGAUUUCUGGAUAGAUAGUAAACUGGUCGUAACUCGAGAAGUAGCUGUCUCAAACCUCCCAAAUUUUACCAGAAUGUCCCUUAGGUAUUUGGUCACAACUUUGUUAUUCAAAACUUUUGCUCAAACAGCCUCCAAGAGGGUCAUAAACUCGGAUUUCUCUACUGUUGUCUAACCUGUUUUUGUGCAAAACAGCUACCUAGAUUUUUAAUUUGUAAUUGAGGAAUUAUUAGAGCAAUCCUACAAAACAAUGGGGGCAUCAUUAAGGUUGGAACAAAAUUUGUAUUCAUCGUUAUUUCAUAAAACUUCAUUAAGAGGGUUGAAACACUCAAAUAAUAGGUAGGGUUCAUUGAAGGUAGAAAACUGAGGGACAGAUUAUUUCUAGAGUUAUCUUCAAGAAGUUUUUCGAAGUGCUUUAGUACUAACCCAUCCUUAUUUAUUUUAUUUUUAUUUUUAUUCCAUUUUCAUUUAUGAUCAUGAUGCAUGCGCAUCCUAAUCAUCCUCACAAGGUAAGCAAUUGCCCAAUAACCUUGGACUCACAGGGUUAGUGCCGGUGGCAUGGCAUAAAUUAUGGCUCUCCCUAUAAUAUCUAACUGAAUUUCUAACCAUUAUUUAACUUAACGUAAUUGUGGUUAGUGUACCUGCAAAAGAUCAUCCAUAGUAUAAAUUGAACCUUUCGUGCUAGCACUCACCAAAACAUCCCCAUUCAUUACCAUUCACUAUAGAAACGGCAUCCGCACGAUUUUCACUAUACGGACAAUGUUCUGAUUGGAGACGGUGGUCCCGGUCAUCUGUCAACGGCAUCGGGGCUUCCCCCACCACACCCCGGUGGCCCUGCGAUGACCCUCGCAGGUGUUGCAGAGCGAUCGGGGCCCCAUAGGGCCCGCCCUCCACUGUGAUGCCUCGGUGGCGCCGCAGUCGCCACACCUCGUCACCGUCGUGGUGCUCGGCGGUAGCGGUGCGACGCGGAGCGUCAAGGACCUCCCUCGCGACCCCUCGACUCGUACAUGAGAGACGUGAGGAACAGCAGCAUCCAUUGGAGAAGAUGACGACGGAGAGAACGAGAAGGCACCGGGUCCGCGUGAUGGCUAAUAUGGAGUAGCGAGGUUGAGAUAGCGUUUCUUAGCGAGGUGAGGACGUAUUUUACAUUAGUAUUUGUUAAUAAUCGUCCCAUAUUGAUUUUCAACCUAUCAAAAAACUAAUGCACUAUUCCAACUACAUUCUCAUUAAAUAAAACAUAAAAUUUGAUCCAUCUUGGUUUCUCAAGGCAUGCGAGUAGGAGAAUGACCCAUUGGGAAAUAAAUGAGGGAAGAUCAGAAAUUGGUUUCAAGUAACCAUGCCUACACGAGAACCAAGGAAGACCGGCUACAUGCACAUGGAGGAUGUGACAUUACACAGGGCUAGAAUGUGGACGGUUACCACGUUAAUCCUCAGGUACAAAUUACAAUUCAUUACAUUUUUUUACAAAUUAUAGUUCGUUACAAUUUUUGGGAAAAAUAUGUACAGACGUAUGAUAAGUUAUAGGAAAAGUGAAUAGGACGGACCAAUAUGUUCGAUCCUUUGUAGGAAAAAAUAGUUUAAAUUUUGGCAAGGUGAGAAAGGAUUUCCUUGAUUUUGAGAGAGAGAUAUGAUUGUAUUAUUUGUUAAUAUUCAUCCCAUAUUGAUUUUCAACCUCUAAAAAAACCGAUGCACCAUUCCAACUACAAUCACAUUAAAUGAAACAUAAAAUUCAAUCCAUCUUGGCCUCUCGAGCUAUGUGAGUAGGAGAACCACCCCUUGGGAAAUAAAUGAAGAAAGACAAGAAAUUAGUUUCAAGUGAGAGUAACCAUGUCUACAUGGGAACCAAGGAAGAGAGAAAGGGUGAGGGAGAGGAAACAUAGCAAACAGAGCAAACAGAGCACGAAAAUAGGGGAUUGAUCUUCUAACAAAAAGAAACAAUCCAUUGAUCUUUCAAACAAAAGAUAACAGCAUAGAAGAAAUGGUUAGGGUUCCAACAAAAUCUAAAGUUACUAAUUAACAACAUAUCAAACAUAACUGCAUUGAUCUUCCAUAGGCGCGGCUUGCUCACCCCAGCCACCCCUCAUUCCGAGCCACGACAUGGUGGCGGCUCCAUUUCUUCUUAUUCUUGCCCCUCAGGGGCGCGGACGUUGCCAUCCCCACGAUGUGGUCCUUGACCUAAUUCAGGAUCUUCCACCAAUGCCUCAUGCUAGGGAAGACGGGGCACGCGAAGAUGUUGUCAGCAUGGCGGAAGACAUGCAAAGCAUCACCUCGGGGGAAGGGCGUGUGGUAGCCGUGGUGACGGUCGUCAGAUGAGUCCGUCUUAGUCUGCGACUCAAAGUUGGAGUCAAACGCAUCAGCUGGAAGGGUCACCUUCGAGGUCAACUUCAGGGGCGACAAUGAGGACGAGGGGGUGUAGGAAGCCGCCCCCACCGUGGAGGAGGCUGGGAAUGCACUGGGGAGCCCCCAGCGGCUCUUCAGUGACCAUCCGCGAGCGACGUCAGGUUGAGGUCGGUGGUGUCAGAGCGCUAUCCCAAUGACGAGCGCGACAGUGGGUUGAGGUCCGUGUUGAUGUAGCACUGUAGCGCUACCGAGAAGUUGGUGCGGCCAGCGGCGCAGCGGGAGCGCGACGAUGAGGAGGAGGCGCCGGAGGAUCGCCCGAUGUGCAUGAGGGAGCCUACGUGGGAGAGGCGGUACGACAGGGAGCCGGAGGAGGUAGGGGCUGAGGGGGAGACGAAUCGCUUCAUGGCAUUGGUCGGGCUGCAGGGGUGAGGUGCGCGCGUCGGGGACGAGAUGGUAGUGGAACCGGCGACGACACUGAUGCUGUUGGAAAUGGCGAUUAAAUAAGAAGUUCCUCGCUUUCCAUGGGAAGGUGCACCUCUUGAGGAUGGCAACUGGCACCUCUCGAGAUAGGUAACUGCCUCCUCGAAGAAUGUGUGGGAACAGAAACCGGUAUAGCAACCGCCGGAGGCCGUGGCAUCGAAUAGUCGAUCUGAAUCAUCGAUGUGCAGAUGACCGGCUACGAGGAGUAGGCAACGCCCGCCUCAGUGGCAUGUUUUCAUUUCCAUAAAGAACCAUAAAAGCCAGUUCCUACGCAAGUGUGCAGUUGGUCUAGUGGUAUGGAUUGCCCACCACAAACAUGUGGUCUUGGGUUUGACUCCUAAGGAGUCACUUUUGUCUUGCCAUAUUGUGGAGGAACACCUCGGAUUAACUUAGCUAAAGCACGGUUAAGUCGCCUAACACGCGAAUAUCAUGCUUUAAUCAAGUUAACUCAACGAUCCGUCGGAUUUCAUCCGAUUAAACCACUUAAAGAGGACCGAGUUAGCAUAGCUCACACGAAGGCGAGUGGUUCCAGAGAAUACAACAGAUCAAAUACUUAGUCCAACGAUUCAUUACACACUAGUUUGAAAUCAGAGUUUUACAAGGUUCAAAAGCAAUGGAAGAUAAAAUAUAGCGGAAGCUAGCGCCGGGGUUGGAUGUCCCUGGUGAGGCCAAACAGGACAUCAGUGAUCCCACUCCUCGUCGCCCGAGGAAGGAUCCCACUCGACCGUCCACCCAGAAGGAAGCUGGGGCGGCCAAGUGCCAACAGCAGCACGCUCGGAAGUUUCAACUUCACCUGAAAAGAGAUGCCACAAACAAGGCUGAGCUUCUAAGCUCAACAAGACUUAACCGACCGGUGGGAAAACUACUCCACCACUUCUAGACAUGCAAGGCUUCUUUGGCUGAGGGGUUUGUUUUGUCAAAAGCGACUACAAUAGGUCCUCACUUUCAAUAUUUUAGCUCAGAUUCCAAGUUCCUUAACCAAUCUACAUUUGAAACUUAUGCUAAACAAACAUAGUUUCCAACCACAAUGUGUAGAACAAGCAGCGAGUUCAUAUCAUCAUCAUGUUCUGUCUUUACUCAGUGUAGCAUAGCGAUCAAGCAGUCUCAAACUGUGAGAGGCAGACGAAUCGAUUCGAGUUCCUUAACCAUGCAUGGAGAAUCUAACCUCACGACAUCCACGCACCACCGAGGGUCGCUUCCUGUGUCGGCCGCCCCCAUCAAUUCCUUGACCCGUGUCGGGCCCACUUCUCUUGGUGCAAGGUUCCAUAGACCCGGCCUCUACCAUUCCGUGACCACACUUGCCACCACAUGCGGCCAUAGGGGAACUCUAUUCCAGAGACAGUGGAUCGAACUGCUCACGUCUAGGUUCAAUCAGGUACUAGGCUUCCCCAUCCCAUAAUGGGUAUGAGAUUAGUACUUUCAAACACUUGAUCACGAACAUCACCACUGUCGGACCUUAAACAGAUUCAAGUAAACAGACGGGGCGAUCAGCCGACCACCAAAAGAGUUCACCAAGCCCUGCCCCGUCCAUCGUCCUUAUAGUUGUAACCAGAAGGAGAACAACCAACUCCUAUAACUCGCGAGUGACAGGAAAUCACUCGAGUUCUGCCGAGCCCUAUUAAGCAUUGCAACUACUUGAACUCAACAGACUAGUGUUCAGAUCAAGGGAACUAAGUCAUGCAUCUAUGGUUUCAAACAACUCCUAUAACGUAAAUGCACAUACAUAUGAAGGAAGGCAUGUGCAAGUUUAGAAGACUGGGUUCAUGCUCCGGGGCUUGCCUUCGAGCGGGGUGGAGGCGAACUGGUCCUCUGUGGGUUCUGCUUCAGCUCCUGCGGUCGGCGGCUCAGCUACUGCUCCGUCUUCUGGCGCCGGAUGCAGUUCGUUUGUGCCGUCGGCGAGAUUUAGCUCUACACGGAAGUGCAAUGUAAGGUUAAACAUUUAGACGGUUAUUUCAACAACACUUGCACGUUUUAGCGCAGACACUUGUAGCAAAGCUGCAGGAAAGGUGUGGAGGAGUCCGACUUCCGUUGGUGGAGAACAGGAUAAAAGGGUCGGAUUGGGAGAAACUUAUGAUCUAACCCUUAGACUUAAGGAAUAACUAUAUCGGGGUCCUUAGACUUAACACAGAGAAGUCCCCGAAAUUUUACACAGAUACCCUCGGGUCAAAGAAAAAGAUUCAACUGAGCCCUCGGGCGAGGUGGAUAAGGGUCGGUGAAACAGACAGGAUCGGGCGAGACGGAAAAAGGGGUUGGGCGAACCGGGAAGGGGGUCAGCAACUUACCUUCAGAUCUACUGGUGAAGUCUUAGGGUCGGGAAGGAAUAGACUUAGGUGGAAGGACUAAGGCGUUAAGGCUUGGAUGGCGGCGAGGUUCGACGGUGCUCCAGCGGCGGCGGUGCUUCUUGUGGACAACAAGCAAGCUCUUGCACUGUGCGGAGGAAAACAGGCGGCUGGUGGGUUAGGGAGAAGCAGGUUUGAGCGGAGAGGGGAACUUUCUCAAGAGCUUAAGCAGCAGUGCUCAAGUGCGAGCAGAGUAUGGUGCGGCGAAACAGCGAUGGUGAAGGAAACUCCGGUAGGGGCUCUGGUACUCCUUUUUAUAGCUGCGCGAAAGGGAGAGAGAGAGAGAGAGAGAGAGAGAGAGAGAGAGAGAGAGUUUGAGCCGCGCGAAGAUCAGGUUGAAAAGGGUGGAGUGCUCUGCCUUUGCGGCGAUUAGGCGGUGCCUCCAUUGGCCAGCGAAGCAGAGCUUCGGGGAUAGGGUCUUUGGUCAUUGGGCACUGGAGACAAAGCCGGCACAGGCGUGGUUUUGCCGGGAUUAAGAGUUGGCGAAGGCGAGCAAGGUCUGGUCACGUCAAGCGGCGGAUUGUGGGCGGCGACUUGACUGGCGUGUGACAGGGAGGAAGGCACUGCAAGUGAGGUCACAGCAGGCGAGGUGACAGGGCGAGCGGCGGCAUGAGCGAGCGCAGAACAGCGGCUUGCCGAGGCACAUCACUGGCAAGGCGGAAAAAGGAGCUGUCUCUGCCGGAGCCGUGGUUGGCGAGGGCGGUAUCGUCGUGGAGCGCGCGCGUGGGCGGCGCGACUGUGGAGAGGCGGAAAUGCCGGAAGGCAUCGGGGCGCGCGGCCGGGAAUCCGAGCGAGGUGAUGGGUGCGGGAUGCGAGGCAGUCUGGCGCGGCAGCGGCAAAACCUCUGACACGAUGGUGACAGGGCGCAUUGGCGCGGCCGGCAAGGGUGCGAGCGAGACGAGGCGAGGCAGAAAGGGCUGCAGGGGCUUCCGCGCGUGAUUGGGAGGGAGGCACGCUGAUCUAUCUUGUCGCAGCCGGCAACUGGGCGAGGCGGCGCGCGUCGGAGAGGUUGAGCCACGCGACGGGGAAGCUCUGAAGCGGGGCGCAUGCUGCUCUAGCGCGUUUGACUCGAGAGAACCGGGGAUCUAGUCGCGGGUCCUCCUUCCAGUCUCUGGCUUUCCCACCGCUCUAAGAUUUUGGAGGAACACUGCUUUGGGACUUAGGGAAGAGCUGCUACUUGCUGGGUUGGUGCGAUUUUGCUGGGUUUUUAGGGGUCGGACCGGUGGAAAUUGCAGAUUGGGAUUAGUCUUGAGAUUAACUCGGCUGGUUAACCAAGGUCGUUACACAUAUUUUUAUCAAUUUUUCACCAGAGUAUUCCUGGAGUAAAAACACUAAUAACUUCCCAAACAAUUUUUUUCAAGUGCCUCAGCACCAUCACAAAUUGACAAAUUCAGAAAAAAUCAAGAUGGUUGACCAUAGAUAGAAACAUCACAAAUACAGACAAAGGAAACUAUGUUAAGACUGUUCACCAUAGCUAAGAACUUCACCAUCUACUUAAUUAUUUUUGCCACCGAGCAUCAAUCCUGCGACAACAACAAAUAAAGCAAGCAGCAUGUGCACGAGCUUGACAAUGUGCCUAUAAUUCCCAAUGAACUUCAGCUUGGCAGUAGCCUUCUGAAGUUGUUGGCACACCGUUUUGAGCUCAUUCCUAAUCUCUCUAAGCUCACUAUUAGUUUUUGUCAAUUCUUCCUCCUACUUCUUUGCAUCCUUCUCAGCUUGCACCUUCUUCUUCAUGAGCUUCACCAGAACACCAAAGGCCCUAUCAUCCCAUUCUGGAUCAACCGAAAUCAUGUAACCGCAUUGCUUCUUUUCAUCCUGCAAAUUAAACGCCCCUUUACAAAUUGUCGUUGACAACAGUAACAUGAAACCACAGAACCAAUAUCUCUAUGAAGCAGGUAGCCAUUACCUUUGGGCAGCAAGCAAACUGACGGCCAGUGUUGAGGAAGGUCCAAGAAAACUUCACCACUCCUCUCCACCCAUGAUCGCACUUGCUUUCAGGAUGCCAACGGGUAGUGUUGCAGAAAGAUGUCUCCGAGCAGUAGCUACCAAUGGAAAAAGAUGAUGGAAUACUUGGAAUCUUCAAAAAAGUCAUUGUAACUUGAAACCAAAGUUUAGUUUUGCACUUCAUAAACUAUAGCCUAUCAACUUCUAACACCAAUCAGAUGCAAACCUAAGUGUAGGACGAAAUCGGAAUCUACUGCCUUCAACCCAAAUCCCCAAUUCCAGAAAAUCCCCUUCCCUCUAAUGAAAGGGGAAAGUAGUGGCACAAAACAGGGGACUGACCUGACCGUAGCUCCUACUCCUCCCUUCGCUGCUAGGAUGCGCCAUUUCCGCUGCCCGUUGCAGUUGCGCACCUAUGCCUCUAGGCUCAAGUCUUUGCCACAGCCAAUAGGAGUGUGCUGGUGAGUCCCUUGCAAUGUACGCCAUUGCAGAUGUACCCGUUGCUUUGGCCUUCAACUGGAAAGUGGACCACACUUAAUAGAACUGUAAUAUAAAGAAGUUGCCUUGUUCAAAACCGAUAAAUUGCAUUAUGUCUCAGUGGUAGUGCUGAGUCGUCAGAAUCAAGAGGUCACAGGUUUGACCACUGCUCUGGACACUCUUACCUUUUUUAUUUUCCUCCCUUUUUAUCAUAGACUAACUUGUGGGACCCUGCUAGAUUUUAUGACGAAUUGGAACACUUUAUUUCUCAACUCAUACUUGCAUGGGGGAUCCUCCUCGGUGUAGGGCUACGAGGUAGGCUACGCUAGCGCAAAACAAAAUUUUUCUACCGCGUAAACCAGGAAAACUAUCGUAUAUGGAUCACGGGAUUACCACUCGAUGCACUGGUGCAGAAGAUGUAGAAUCGCGUCGGGGCAACGAAGUCGAUCAGCAUAGUCGAACACAUAGUCGAUCACGUCGACGUCGAGCAGCUCCUCAGCAGCUCGUCCACGUACAGCGAGGUCAUCCUCGUGCCGCGGCUCGUCAGCGGCUCAUCGUGGCUCGUCAUGGCUCGUCGGCGGCUCAUCCAAGUGCUGCAAGUGCAACACCUCCAAGGUAUCCACACGUGCAGGGAGGAAGCGUCGCAAGUCGGACUGCUAGGUCCGCGAGUUGCAACAGGGCGAGGGCAUGGGAGGCGUGGCAGAUGUGUUUCGGCCGAAGGGAUUAAACCCAGGGCGCCCCACUCCUCUAUUUAUAGAAGUUCCUGACGGGCCUCUGGGUCCGAGGCCCAUUAGUACUUCUAAACCUGAUCCAACAUGGAUCAUAUCCGAAUUGGACUUCCAGCUCCUUAAGUGUGUAACCCUAUGGGUUCGGAUAUGUAUAGACAUGGCCCGAGUACUUCUACUCGACCCAAUAGUCGAUAGCGGCCUCUAGCAAGACGUGCCAACUCCACGCACACGAAGAUCAUAUCAGACGAACCGUCACAACAUCACGUACAUGCUAUUCCCUUUGCCUCACAAUAUUUGGUCUAGCUUCAAGCCGACCGCUCUUUCUCGAUCCUGUGAUUCGAAAUCCCUUUGUAGGUUAACUCUUAACCGUACGUAGCAAGGCCAUGCAUUUUUGGAUCCGAUCACUCGAGGGGCCCAGAGAUAUCACUCUCAAUCAGAGAGGGGCAAAUCCCAUCUUGAUUGACCAUGUCUCACAGCAUGCUUCUUGACAAAUCCGAAAGCUACCCUUUUAACUACCCUGUCACGGUGUAGCGUUUGAUAGGCCCUAAGUAAGUCGAUCCACAUCUUGAGUACAUGCGACAAUCUCAGGUCUAAGGACAAAGCGUACAUGUUGUGUAAAGAGAGAACUACUCCUCGUGUUGGGUCAGUCCUAGCACAUGUCUCUACAUAUACCUACAUUAUUAGUUUGAUAUUUCCAUGUCCAUGACUUGUGAAACAUAGUCAUCAACUAAUACAUGUACUAGUCUAAUAUUCAUGUGUGUCCACACAUGAACUCCGACUAGGGACAACUUUUAGAAUAACCAUACAAGUAAAGAGUUCCAGAUACAAUUCACAUAAUUGCAGAUCAAUUCAAGUAGCCUUUAAUGGAUAUUCAAUGAACACAAUAUACAAAUCAUGGAUACAAUCAGAUAUCAUCAUCUCUAUGAUUGCCUCUAGGGCAUACCUCCAACACUCGGUUUAUGAUAUUUUUUGCACACCUUAUUUUUUAACAAAUGUUUACAUGUGGGACCCUGGUUAGUUUAUGACGUUUUCGUGGACCUUAUAUUUUCACAAAACCACCAUGUAACAGCGAGUGAUAAUUUUUUUCUACAAUGGCAACUUUUAUGAUGUUCCGUAACUUUAUCACUAAAUUUGCUCGGAUGUGAAACUUUAUAACAUUUUCAGCCAGAAACAUCAUAAAUCUAUGAUAAGAACAAAUGUGUCAUAAAAUUUUCAUCACAGAUCCACACAUUUCUUGUAGUGUAGUUACGAGACGAUAUAUUUCUCUCUUAUUUUCCUGCCCUCUCCAUAUCAGACAAAAUCCUAGUGGCACCUUUUCUAGGUAGUAUAUAUGUUUUUUAAGUUGCAUCACAGUUAAUUAAAAAAGUAAACUAGCAAUUGAAUUCUUCGUGAUGAAAAUACAUGUCCACUCCCCUGGCUCACUAGUGCUCCUUGCCACGGUCGUCGUGAAUGGGCUGCCAUAUGAAAGUAUGCUUUGCUUCCCACGUACAAAGAUUUGCUCCUGUUUGACCGGGGUAUUCGUUACCUAGAGGCUCAAGAGCCCAAAAAAUACAGGUAACACAUUGGUGUAUUGGUGUUACAUUGGAUUUGUCAAGCGUGCAUGGCAACAAAUCAUCAUUGGAGCCAGGAGGUGAGGAUUGCGUACGUUGAGGUUGAAUUGGGCAACUAACAUCAAUAUAUGGAGAUCGAUUCCUUUUGUUUGGGCUGCGGGCUCCCAUGUAUCCAUGUUUCUCUGCUCAAGGAUAACAUAAGAGUGAGUAUACGGGAAGUGGCUGUGGAUGAUCUCUCUUGCCAUGCGCAAAGAAUGAAAUGAAUUUCGUAGCUCCCUUAGGACAUGCAAAGUUUCUUUUUAUUCCCAACUCCCCCACUUGCUCCUGACCUACCCUAACUCUACGAUGCCUCUUGUGUUUCUCCUAAGUUGUUCUCUCAUGAGACGAAUAAUCUUCAUUAUCGGUUCCAUCCUCUCGUUCGCCAAGGCAAGUAAGUUGGGCAAUCUCCAGGUCCGCUCGGCUCCACUACUACACAAACCAUCAUCACCGCCACCUAUAUCACUGCCGGAUUUUGUCAAACCGGUGAUGAUAACUCAUCACCGUCGAAUUUUUACAUGAUCCGACGGUAAAACCAUAAAUCAGCAGUGAUAUUACAAUAUCACCGUCAGGUCAAAUAAUGAGCCGGCGGAGAUAGGUAUCACCAUCGGACAGUAUUACAAACCGAUGGUGAAGGGGUGUCUCGGAGCUUAAAUUUUCAUGCGAUUCAGUUUUGAGAUCCUUGGCGUCCACGGCCCUCCCCUCCUCCCCCACCCCACGCCCACGGCCCUCCCUCCCACUCUCCCCUCCCGCAAUCUCCUCGACUCCUCCCUCUCCUCUCAUCCUCCGCCACCCGGAUCCCUCCCCCCUCCCACAAUCUCCUCUCUCCAUCUCCCACCAGCCCUCCCCCUCUCCCUCCGUCGUUCGCUUCCCUCCUUCCCUCGCUCUCCCUCAGCCAGCCCCCUCCCUCCCUCUCUCCCUCGGCUACCCCUCUCCUUCCCCCUUCGCUCGCCCCUCACUUGCGGCAAUGAGGAGCGGUGGUGAGACGAGAAGCGGCGGCAGCGCACGGGGAUCUGCAGUAGUGUGGAGCGCGCGGAUCUGUGGCUGCGUGGGGAGCGCGGAUCUACAGCAUGGAGCGGGGGUGGGGGGGUGCGGCGACGCAUCGCGGUGGGCAAGCAGCGACGGUGGUGGUGGCGACCCAUGGUGGCUGAGUAGCGGCACUGAUGGCAGCCCGUGGGGGCUCCGGCGAGGUACGCUGCCCCUCUAUCUCUCCCCCUUCUCCCUCUCUCCCCUAACCCCCUCUCUCUGGUUUCGCAGCGGGCGGCGGUCGGCCGGAUCUAGCGGGGCCGUGGCUGCCGGCGGCUGGCAGCUGGUGGGGCUAUAGGUUUCUUUUUGAAUGGGCAUCACCGCCGGUUGUUAGUUCAGCGGUGAUGCCCAUUCCCAUCACCACCAACCAUUUACCAUCGACUCCCAAAACCGGCGGUGGUGUAGGUUUGAGGGCCAACGGUGAUGAGGCAUUCUGUAGUAGUGCUCACCCAUUUCCAAAAGGAAUACUUCCUCUACCCAUCAAGCCUUCUCCGUUUCCUUUUACUGUUCCAAAUCUAUUUUUUGAAAUGAAUCAUGCAGAAAGAGCUGCCGAUUAUAUUUAAAAGAAGAAUAAGUUCAGAGUGGAUAGAAUAACGAACAACAACAUCGGCCGGUUGGAAUGGGACAUUAACACAUGCCACACCAACUCAACUCAACUCUCAACAACAUCGGCUGAUUAGAUUGGAACAUCGACACGAGCCGCACAAUGCAAAGCACAACUCAACUCAAUUCAACAAGCAACACCGGCCAUUUGGAUUGGGACAUCAACACAUGCCGUACCAACUCAAUUCAACUCUCCACAGCACCGGCCGGUCGAAUUGGGACAUUGACACGAGCCGCGCAACGCAUAGCACCGCUUAACUCAAUUCAGCAAGCAUUGUCAGCCGAUUGGAUUAGAAAACACAUGCUGUACAAAGUCUUCGCUCGGCUGAAACUCCUCAACUUCACCGCAGCUAGCCUCAUCACUGCUGCAGCAUCGCCGGCCGCCACUCCACUAAAUGCCACCACCAUGACACCAGCAGAUUUUUUCUUUUUUUGGGAAAGUAAAAGAAAGGAAAGAAAAACGCCCAGCCGGCGGUCGCGGCGAGCGAUGUCGAACGGGUCUGCCUGACGAUGCUUUCAAGAAGGUUAUGACGCCAAAUCUAUAUUUAGUUUGUGAUGCGAGCUUCAGUCCAUUAUCCCUCGGUAGUUUGGAGCUAGAAUUUAGUUGGGAGUGUGGAUUUAGUCCAUCUCGUUCAACGAGGUUCGGACUCAUCAAAUUUGAGGUUUUAAGGGUUUGAGAUGAUUUUGAGAGUUACAGUUCCUCCUACUAGCCUGAGCUUGUGUUGAAAGAAUUUCGGUAACUUUGCUAUUAAUCUUAUUGUCUUGUCACAAUCGCUUCAUCACCAUCAAUGUUUGUUUUUAUGCAUGCAAUUCUAGUAUCAGCGUGCUUGUGUCAUAUAUCAUAGGCAUUCUUGUUUUCUCCUUCCUCUGUUUUUUGCCACUAUUAUCGUUAUCAUGAGUGUAUUGUUGGUCGAGCUAUUAUGCUGCUCAUUUUUGGCAAGUUGUGGCGCUUUGCUGAUGCUGCUUCUGUCAUGUCAGAAUAUGUUUCUAUCUUACUUCUAUUCAUGUUGCAGCUACAUUUUCUUUUAUCACUGUUCUUAUUACCAUGCCGCAUUGGAUAAUUACUUAACUGCAUGAAAAUAAGCAAGUCGAUGUUUGACCAUCAAUGGGCCGAUACAGUUUUUAGCAUAUAUCUAUGCUGGUGACGCUGACACUAGAGGAGCAUCCUGUUGGGAAUUUGGACUGCAUCAGCGGUGGCAUUAGAUUAAACAUGCAGCACAAUAUAAACAUGCAGCACAAUACAGCUUGAAUGCAAAUAUUCAUCUAUGCUUGAACUGUAAAAUAUGUUCUUUUUUAUUUUUGGAAAUUCUCCUUUAAGGUGUUUCCGCUCCAUCAAAAGCCAUUUUGUUACUUAUAGGCCAAAUGGUCCUUUAAGUCCAAAUGGCAAUAAUUCUUGCAUUUUACGGAACUAAAGUUUAAAUAUGACAAGCGAUUAUUCUAGGAAAAAAAAAGCGAUGAAAAUUUAUUUAUCAUACAAAGGACAAUGGUUAAUAUAGACUAUUGCCUCUCUGAGCAAUAUGCAAAAUCCAAAUGCAGCAAGUUGUUCUCAACUAAAAUCCAAUAUGUAACAAUUAUGGCAGAACAAAAUUAAAAUGCUACAUAGAUAUCUCUGAACAAUGAACAACCUAAACCUUCUGGAGCAUCACUUCUGUCCUAAAAUCCAACCUACAACCAUG
rnacentral:lncRNA from 1 species